rnacentral:lncRNA from 1 species
UUGUUUUGAGUUGUGGUAUUCGAGUUGCUUCAAAGUUAAAUGUUGAUUCCAUACCUUCCCCAAAUGGUGUUCUCAUACUCCGAUGUGAAUACCAAUCCUUCUUGAUCAUCAAGAGUGUCAUGUCAAUCAUUUUCACCCGGCGUGUUUUUUUUUCUCUUCAAGUGGAUCCGAUCUUUUCAAUAUCCGCAAGAUUCAAUCUCAGCUUUCUCAACGGUGUUCGUUUCAUCCAUCCCAAGUUGCCUUUGUUUUUCCCGCCCUCCCUCCCUUGUUUUCUUCGAGGACUCGGAAUUCUUAAUCAAGUAUCCUUUUAUUCAUAUGAAGUCUCUCCAUUCUUUUCCGGCAAUGUUCUUAUCCGGUGAUUCUCAGGAAGAUGCUAACGGAGCAUCUAGUUCAUCAUUCUUCGUUCUCUUUUAUCUGAUGAAUUCAAAUCAAGCUUUAGUGUUGAUCAUAUCCUUUUUUCCUCGUUUCAAAUACCUUCUCAUACCGGUGCACCUCAUAUUCAUUCACUUCUCGCUAUUUAAUUGUUCCGGAGUGCCCAAGAUAUCUCGAAGAUUCGUGUUUUCCACUCUGCAUUCAUUCAAGAUCUUCGAGGUUGUUAUCUCACUCAAGUCAUUUAAUUCAACCGGUACAAUCUCUCCUUUAAUCUUUUCAACGGUGUUUCUUUGAGUGGGCCCUAACCCACAGGUCUUUUCCCAGGAUCUUACCUGACUCUUCUUAUUUUUCCCGGAGGUAUUCGCAAUUUCUUUUCAAAGUUUGACGUAAGAAUGAAUUAUCAUAAGUCUUAUGUUUUUCUCCAAGAUCGUCCAAUUAUUUUCAUCGUUGGCUCAACCUCUCCUCUUUUAAUCAUUCCGGAGUGUCUCAAUAAUUCAUGGUGGUGUCUCUCAUCGUCAUUCUUUAUAUUUGAAGACCGAAGAAGAUUUUUCUCUCAAUCUUGCUCCUUUCUCUUCAAGAUUCGUGAUGCUAGCUUACUGCCAUCCUCUCAUAAUUGUUUUGAUUGUGAGUAUUCUUUUCACCUAUCCAAAGCAAUUCAAGAGUCUUCUCAGUUUGUUAUCCGGAGUCCGUCAAUUCAGGUUUAUUCAUUCUCAGUUGUCAGUUAUCAUUCUCCUAUCUUACCGGUGCUUCGUUCAAGUAAUCUUUAAUCAGUUCGUGAUCCCUUCGUUCUCUUCUAUCUAAAUUCUCUCAAGCACCUUCGUUCAUUUGCUAAUUCUUACCGGUGAUUCACCGCUACUUCGAUCAUUUUCAAUUCUUACGGUGGUUCUUUCAAGAUCUCUCUUCCUUGUUUAUAUAGCAAUUUAUUCGUUAUUUCAAUUCUACCGGUGGUUCGUUGAAGACCUUCUCAAAUUUUGAUAUAUCUCGCUUAAUCCUUUCUACGAGAAUAAGUAGUAUGCCAAUUCCAUUGCUUGUCAUCAAUUUAAUUGGUGAAGGAUACGCAUAAUGUAAUUCUUAUUCUUGUUUCAUCGAGUUUAUUCAAUUCCUGUUUUCCGGAGUGGCUCAUCAUACUUAUUCUUGGUUUCAAGUGCUCAUCAUUCUUUCCCGGAGUUCCAAGCUCUAAUUAUCAUGAAGAUCCAUCUAAAUCUUUACAAGGUUUUAGCUUGUGUUUUCAGCUUCUCUUCCUUUCCGUUUGAUCAUUCUUUUGUUUACCGGAGUUCUUCAUGGAGGUUCUACAUGAUGGUUCACCAAUGAUUUAAUUCCUUCUCAAAGUUUUUCAUCGAGAUUCGUUUCUAAGGAGUUCAAGCAUUCUUCAUCUUGCAAUCCGGAGUGCAAUUCUUUCUACCGUAUCAUUUAGGGUGGUGCUAUGUCAUUCUUCAUAAUUUGAGUUCAUGUUUCAUGAUUCACAUGUUGUCAAGAAUGAGAUAUCUUAAAUCCAUCAAUCGCGUCAUUGGAGUUAUGUUGGGUUAUAUUUCACCUAAAGCCUUCCCUAAGGAUUGUUGCUAUCUAUGGUGUUUAUAAAUGAUCCAAGUUCUUCAUUUAUCCUCCCGAUGAAAUAAGUUUUCUCGUCUCCUUAGUCAUAUCAAUCCAACUCUUUUUCCCGUGAGUGGCAGGUUGUCACCUCAUAAUUUGAGAUGUAUUCCAUAAGACCAUAUCAAGCUUAUUCUUUUCGUUGUUGGUUUUCCAACAACUCCUUUCUAGCUUUUGUUGUAAGCGUGCUCCCUCGAGUUCUGUUUCCCUUCGUUCAUCCCAUUCCAUUCUUACUUUUGUUCCGGAGGCGUUGUGACGUUGCUCUUUUCAGCCCAUCUUUUCGUUUUGUCAGGAUCGUGUUCUUUUCUUGGUUUACCCAUUUAACCGGAGUGUUGUGCCCUUUUACUCAAGUCCUUUUCAUCCUAUCAAGUCUUGCAUCACUUCUCAACCAGAGUGCUACCCGAAUCGGUUCUUUCUUUUCCUCUUUUCCUAACGGAGUGUUUGUCAACUUUGUUCAUCUCCGUUGUUUUCUUUUCUCGAAAUGGCUUAACCUUUUCAAGGUUCUUUGGUUUCACUCGUUUGUCAAAGAAGCAACUUAGUUUUACCUUUUCUCUUCCUCUUCUGUUUGCCCUCUGGUGCCGUUUUAGAUCUCGGGACGAGAUCCUCUCGUAGUGGUGGAGUGUUGUAACACCCCAAGACCGGAGCUUCAGAUGCCUUCCAUGUUUUCCGAGUUUUGUCGGGUGAUUUGUUUUGUCUGUUGCAUUUCAUCUUUGCAUCAUGUUCAUUGCAUCAUGUCAUCAUGCCAUCCUUUGCCCGAUGCAUCAUAUUAUAGCUUUGUGCCAUCCAUGCUGUUUCAAAGUCCCUCAUGUGCAUUUGCCCCUACUUUAUGUUUGUGGAAUGCUCCAUGUAUGAUCUUGCAUCAUCUCCUUCUCCUUCCUUCUUGUUUCUUUCAUUUUGGCAAGUGACCUUUUCCCCUCCUCGAGAAAUGUUCUUUCUUUUCCUGAUGCUAGUUCACCAUGCCUAAACCCUCUCUGUCAAAUUUCAGAUCAUUUGAAGUUGUUUUGGUUGGGUUCAAAAAUGGUUCAAGUUUGAAUUUUAAUUCAAACUUGAAUUAUUUUUCUGUCAUUAAAAAUUCCCAAACCACUUUUAUUAAAUCGGGCAUAUUUCUUGGUUUCCAGAAAUAUGUCCCUUUCUCCUCACAUCCAUUCCGAACCCUCUGUAUUUUUUUUCUAUUUCUGUUUACGCGAUAAAUAGAAAAGAGAAAAAUCAGAGUAGAGAGGGAGAGAAGAAGCCCAGCCUCUCAGGCCUGCCAGGCCUUCCCUUUGCCUUAAGGCCCGGCUGACCCACUCCUCUCUACUGGGUCGCCCCCAAGCCCACCUAACCCUUGCCUGCAGCCCACCUAUUCCCGUCUAACCCUAGUUGCCAGGUGUGCCCAAUCUCCACUCCCUCGCGCACCCCCCUCCUCUCGUUUUUCCCUCGCGCCGCCAGGAGGUAGCGACGCUCGAUCCCCUCGUCUCUCUUCUCCCCUCGCGCCGCAGGAGACACCAUCUCCCGAUCCCCAUCUCUCCCCUUCGUCCUCCUCUGGUGCCACCCCUCUCCCUCACUCCCUCGACAGCGCCGUCCUCCCAGUGCCACCCCUGGCCCGCUGAUGUGCCGCCACUCCACCGCAACCGUGCCCUGCGGCUGCUGCUCUUCUACACGCCGCCGUCCGCGACCAGCAGGAGGCCGCUGCUCGCCUCACCUCCUGCCUCCUGCGCGCCUCCUCCUCGCGAAGUCCCCGUCGCCGGGCACUCGAGGAGAGGAGCUCCUCAAGCGCCCGCGCCUGCAGUCGUCCUUCCUCUGUGCCCAGCAGGAGCCCCGCCAGCUCCCAUCGCCCCCGUCUGCGCCCCUCGCGGCUCUGCCUCACCAUGGAGCUCCGCCACCCAUCUCUCUUCCUGUAGCGCGCUGUCGCGUGGACGCUCACCCCUGACCAGCGUCGUUACUCCUCUUGGUCCGUCCUCCUUGGUGUGGAGCAGCACCAUCACGGCGCCCUGCCUCCUUGUCCACCGUGUGCUCCGUCGCCCACGGCCGAGCACCUCAAGACGAAGCCCUUUUUUCGUUGAUGCGAACGGUUAUACGAACAUGACCCAGAUUCGAAACGCAAGACGAUGCCUCCGUUGCACCCAUGCCGAGCAGGAGUAUUUUGGAUUCGUCAAGUACGACUACAUAUCCGGGAUGCGUCAAGUACCCCACCGUCAAGACCGAGACUGCCCGGAGACCACGAAUCCGUGAGGUUCCACUACCGUCGUCGUGGAUCCGACAAGUUCACGAGUACCUCUACCUCCCACGACGACCUUGUACAACUACUGUCGCAAGAACCGAGACCGGCAAGUCCGAAGAACCAAGUACCAUGACGCCAAGUACCCCUUCGGAUCGCCAAGGUGGAUCGCGAACAUUGACGAGGUUCCGAUAAGACCGUCGACGUGUACGACCUACUUCAAGAAUAUGUACCACUACCGCCGCUCGAACGUUUACAGAACAUGUACUGUCGAUCCUCGAAGAACCGUGGACGGCAAGUUCCUUGUUGACCCCGAACACCUAUGGAGUGUGAACAUCUACGAAGCGAGAACGACUACUUCCACUACCUUCGUCGCGAGAACGCCUACUUCCCUCUACGAACGAGAACCGUCCCCUUUGCACGCUCCGAAGGUAUAACCCUGAGACAACGUCCGUGAACGAAUGCUUGCGAUGUUUGAGAUGCUCGUGGUUGCACCAUGUCCAAUUUGUCACUUGUUUCCUUGUCAUCGACUCAUGGGACACCCGGUAUCCGGGAGCGCCCCGCCAAUCUUUUGCACGCAUCCGCACACUUCUCCUUUGCAUCGGUAUCUCAAUCGAGGCACCGGAACCGGAACGUUGCCGUGGCACCAUUUUCAUUAUCGUUGCCGUGGCACCCCUUUCCUUUCCACCACAUUGACAAAUGCUUCAUAAUGCUCUUAUCAAGUCUUAAUAAAUAUUGCAUAAACUUGUUCAUGGCAUCCGCAUCAUGAUAACAACAAUUAAAAUGUUUAAAUUAUUGUUGCACCAAAUUGCUAAAUGCAUAUGGGGAUUUACCGGAAUUGUUGUUUGUUAUUUCCGGCCUCAUUUAAACUUGCCUAAAUGUUUAGUUUACUCAUGUUUCAUCUCUUGCCAUGUUUAACAACAUUUAAUAUUGUUGGAUACAUAAACGAGAUCGAACUAAAUGACUUGAAUGUGGUGUUUCGUCAAUAUGCAGCGGAGUUGCAUAUUGAGCCCCACUUAAUUUGUAGGAUUGUUUGUGCACUUUGCCAUGCCAUGCAUACUUAAACCGGACAUGCAUCAUACUUGAUUGUGCAUCAUGCCAUGAUUAUGUGAUGGUUGUUUACUUUGUUGUUUGCUUCUUUCCGGUGUUGCUUCUUCGGAUUAGUUCCGAUAACGUCGUGUUUGUGAGGACCCGUUUGUCUACGUCCGUUUGUCUUCUUCAUGGACUCGUUCUUCUUCCUUGCGGGAUUUCAGGCAAGAUGACCAUACCCUCGAAAUCACUUCUAUCUUUGCUUGCUAGAUGCUUGCUCUUUUGCUAUGCCUAUGCUGCGAUACCUACCACUUGCUUAUCAUGCCUCCCAUAUUGUUAAACCAAGCCUCUAACCCACCUUGUCCUAGCAAACCGUUGAUUGGCUAUGUUACCGCUUUGCUCAGCCCCUCUUAUAACGUUGUUAGUUGCAGGUGAAGAUUGAAGUUUGUUCCUUGUUGGAACAGGGAGAUGUUGUUCCUUGUUGGAACAUGUUUACUUGUUGGGAUAUCACAUUAUAUCUUAUUUAAUUAAUGCAUCUAUAUACUUGGUAAAGGGUGGAAGGCUCGGUCUUAUGCUUAGUGUUUUGUUCCACCCUUGCCGCCCUAGUUUCCGUCAUAUCGGUGUUAUGUUCCCGGAUUUUGCGUUCCUUACGCGGUUGGGUUAUAAUGGGAACCCCUUGACAGUUCGCUUUGAAUAAAACUCCUCCAGCAAGGCCCAACCUUGGUUUUACCAUUCGCCACCUAGCCUCUUUUUCCCUUGGGUUAGGCCAGCCCAAGGGUCAUCUUUAUUUUAANNNNNNNNNNNNNNNNNNNNNNNNNNNNNNNNNNNNNNNNNNNNNNNNNNNNNNNNNNNNNNUAUCGGUGUUAUGUUCCCGGAUUUUGCGUUCCUUACGUGGUUGGGUUAUAAUGGGAACCCCUUGACAGUUCGCUUUGAAUAAAACUCCUCCAGCAAGGCCCAACCUUGGUUUUACCAUUCGCCACCUAGCCUCUUUUUCCCUUGGGUUAGGCCAGCCCAAGGGUCAUCUUUAUUUUAACCCCCCCCCCCCCCGGGGCCAGUGCUUGUCUAAGUGUUGGUCCGAACUGAGUAGACUGCGGGGCCACCUCGGGGAAACUUGAGGGCUGGUUUUACUCAUAGGAUGUCUCAUCCGGUGUUGCCCUGAGAACGAGAUAUGUGCAGCUCCCAUCAGGAUGUCGGCGCAUCGGGCGGCUUUGCUGGACUUGUUUUACCAUUGUCGAGGAUGUCUUGUAGAACCGGGAUACCGAGUCUGAUCGGAAUGNNNNNNNNNNCACCUCGAGGAAACUUGAGGGUUGGUUUUAGUUGUACGUAGUGUUCAUCCGGUGUUGCCCUGAGAACGAGAUAUGUGCAGCUCCCAUCAGGAUGUCGGCGCAUCGGCCGGUCUUGUUGGACUUGUUUUACAAUUGUCGAGGAUGUCUGGUAGAACCGGGAUACCGAGUCUGAUCGGAAUGUCUCGGGAGGAGGUCUAUUCCUUCGUUGACCGUGAGAGCUUGUCAUGGGCUAAGUUGGGACACCCCUGCAGGGUUUUGAACUUUCAAAAGUCGUGCCCGCGGUUAUGGGCAGAUGGGAAUUUGUUAAUGUCUGGUUGUAGAAAACCUGAAGUUGACCUUAAUUAAAAUGCAUCAACCGCGUGUGUAACCGUGAUGGUCUCUUUUCGGCGGAGUCCGGGAAGUGAACAUGGUGUUGGAGUUAUGCUUGACGUAGGUUGUUCUAGGAUCACUUCUUGAUCAUAGUUUCUCGACCGUGCUUUGCCUUCUCUUCUCGCUCUCAUUUGCGUAUGUUAGCCACCAUAUAUGCUAGUCGCUUGCUGCAGCUCCACCUUAUACCUUUUACCUUACCCAUAAGCUUAAAUAGUCUUGAUCGCGAGGGUGUGAGAUUGCUGAGUCCCCGUGGCUCACAGAUACUUCCAAAACCAGCUUGCAGGUGCCGAUGAGUCCAUGCAGAUGAUGCAACCAAGCUCAGGAGGAGCUCGAUGAAGACUUUGUCCGUUGUGUUGUUUCAUUCUAGUUGAUCAGUAGUGGAGCCCAGUUGGGGUCGAUCGGGGACCUUGUCGCAUUUGGGGUUCUUCUUUUAUUUUGGUUCCGUAGUCGGACCUUGAUUGUAUUUGGAUGAUGUAAUGCUUUAUUCAUGUAUUGUGUGAGGUGGCGAUUGUAAGCCAACUAUGUAUCUCUUUCCCUUAUGUGUUACAUGGGUUGUGUGAAGAUUACCUCACUUGCGACAUUGCUUUCAAUGCGGUUAUGCCUCUAAGUCGUGCUUCGACACGUGGGAGAUAUAGCCGCAUCGAGGGCGUUACACAUACCUUGAUAAAGUUUUGAAGAAGUUCAAAAUGGACCAGUCAAAGAAAGGGUUCGUGCCUAUGUUGCAAGGUGUGAAGUUGAGUCAGACUCAAUGCCCGACCACUGCAGAGGAUAGAGAGAAAAUGAAAGUCAUUCCCUAUGCCUCAGCCAUAGGUUCUAUCAUGUAUACAAUGUUGUGUACCAGACCUGAUGUGUGCCUUGCUAUUAGUUUAGCAGGGAGGUACCAAAGUAAUUCAGGAGUGGAUCACUGGACAGCGGUCAAGAGCAUCCUGAAAUACCUGAAAAGGACUAAGGAUAUGUUUCUCGUUUAUGGAGGUGACAAAGAGCUCAUCGUAAACGGUUACGUUGAUGCAAGCUUUGACACUGAUCCGGAUGACUCUAAGUCACAAACUAGAUACAUAUUUAUAUUGAAUGGUGGAGCUAUCAGUUGGUGCAGUUCCAAGUAGAGCAUUGUGGCGGGAUCUACGUGUGAAGCGGAGUACAUAGCUGCUUCGGAAGCAGCAAAUGAAGGAGUCUGGAUGAAGUAGUUCAUAUCCGAUCUAGGUGUAAUACCUAGUGCAUCAGGUCCAAUGAAAAUCUUUUGUGACAAUAUUGGAGAAAUUUCCUUGGCGAAGGAAUCCAGAUUUCACAAGAGAACGAAACACGUCAAGAGACGCUUCAAUUCCAUCCGCGAUCAAGUCAAGGAGGGAGACAUAGAGAUUUGCAAGAUACAUACGGAUUUGAAUGUUGCAGACCCGUUGACUAAGCCUGCCUCACAAGAAAAACAUGAUCAACACCAAGACUCCAUCGGUGUUAGAAUCAUUACCAUGUAAUCUAGAUUAUUGACUCCAGUGCAAGUGGGAGACUGAAGGAAAUAUGCCCUAGAGGCAAUAAUAAAGUUGUUAUUUAUACUUCCUUAUAUCAUGAUAAAUGUUUAUUAUUCAUGCUAGAAUUGUAUUAAUCGGAAACUUAGUACAUGUGUGAAUACAUAGAGAAACAAAGUGUCCCUAGUAUGCCUCUUGUAGACUAGCUCAUUAAUCAAAGAUGGUCAAGUUUCCUGACCACAGACAUGUGUUGUCAUUUGAUGAACGGGAUCACAUCAUUAGAGAAUGAUGUGAUGGACAAGACCCAUCUGUUAGCUUAGCAUAAUGAUCAUUUAGUUUUAUUGCUAUUGCUUUCAUCAUGACUUAUACAUGUUCCUCUGACUAUGAGAUUAUGCAAUUCCCAAAUACCAGAGGAACACCUUGUGUGCUAUCAAACAUCACAACAUAACUGCGUGAUUAUAAAGAUGCUCUAUAGAUAUCUCCGAUGGUAUUUGAUUGAGUUGGCAUAGAUCGAGAUUAGGAUUUGUCACUCCGUGUAUCGCAGAGGUAUCUCUGGGCCCUCUCGGUAAUGCACAUCACUAUGAGCCUUGCAAGCAAUGUGUCUAAAGAUUUAGUCACGGGAUGAUGCAUUAUGGAAUGAGUAAAGAGACUUGCCGGUAACGAGAUUGAAAUAGGUAUGAUGAUACCGACGAUCGAAUCUCGAGUAAGUAACAUACCGAUGAUAAAGGGAACAACGUAUGUUGUUAUGCGGUUUGACCGAUAAAGAUCUUCGUAGAAUAUGUAGGAGCCAAUAUGAGCAUCCAGGUUCCGCUAUUGGUUAUUGAUCGGAGAUGUGUCUCGGUCAUGUCUACAUAGUUCUCGAACCCAUAGGGUCCGCACGCUUAAUGUUCAAUGACGAUUUGUAUUAUGAGUUAUGUGAUUUGAUGAACUGAAAUUUGUCCGAAGUCCCGGAUGAGAUCACGGACAUGGCGAGGAGUCUCGAAAUGGUCGAGACAUAAAGAUUGAUAUAUUGAAAGGUUAUGUUUGGACACCGGAAUGAUUUCGGAAAGGUUCGGGCAUUUUCUGGAGUACUAGGAGUUACCGGACCCCCACCCCCCGAGAGUUAAUGGGCCUUCAUGGGCCCUAGUGGAGAGAGGAGGCGUCGGCCAGGUGGUGGCGCGCCCCCCCAAGCCCGAACCGAAUUGGACUAGGGUUGGGGGGGGCAGCCCCCUUUCCUUCUCUCCUCUUCCUCGUUCCCUCCUUCUCUUAGUGGGAAUAGGAAAGGGGGGCCGAAUCCUACUUGGACCGGAGUCCAAGUAGGACUCCCCCCCUUGGCACGCCCCCUCUAGGGCGGCCUCCUCUUCCCCCCUCCUUUAUAUACGUGGGAGGGGGGCACCCCAAAGGCACACCAAGUCUUCUCUUAGUCGUGUGCGGUGCCCUCCUCCACAGUUACACGCCUCGGUCAUAUCGUCGUAGUGCUUAGGCGAAGCCCUGCACCGGUAACUUCAUCAUCACCAUCGCCACGCCAUUGUGCUGACAGAACUCUCCCUCGUCCUCAACUGGAUCAAGAGAUCGAGGGACGUCAUCAAGCUAAACGUGUGCUGAACGCGGAGGUGCCGUACGUUCAGUGCUUGGGCCGGUUGGAUCGCGAAGAUGUUCGACUACAUCAACCGUGUUACUGAACGCUUCCGCUUUCGGUCUACGAGGGUACGUGGACACACUCUCCCCACUCGUUGCUAUACUUCUCCUAGAUAGAUUUUGCUUGAUCGUAGAAUUUUUUUUGAAAUACUACGUUCCCCAACAAAUCCACAUUCAUAGGUCUCCUUCGUAGCUUUUCCAAUUCUUUUUAAGUUUUUUAAUUCUCUGUUUCGGUCCUCUCAAAGUCUCCCUGUCCUAAUUAUGCAAAUCUGCCUGUACCGCUCGAGUACGAUCAGCGAGGCUUGGCCCAAUACCCAUUUUUUUUUUGCCUUUUCCCAUGUUGUACGGAUAGUUUCUAUAAUCAUCUCCUCUUUGAGCCAUCGUGCUUCAAACUGUCUCACUAGUCCCCUUGGGCUAUUAAAAAUAUUGCUGUCAUAAUACUCUAUAUCCAGGACGAGUGGGCGAUGAUCGGAAUGAACAUGUUCCUCGUUAAUAAUUGCAGCCUGAGGGAAUUUAUUCGCUCAUUCCACAUUGCACACCGCAUGGUCAAGCCUCUCCCUAGUAUCGCCUCUCCUCCAAGUGAAAGGAUCACCAAUGCAUCCCAUAUCUUCAAGACCGCACUCCGCUAGACAAUUACGAAAAUCUCUCAUCAUAGCAUUCGGUCUCGCAUUACCACCCUCCUUUUUUGAUGAGAGUAAAAUUUCAUUGAAAUCCCCUAGUAUCACCCAGGGGUGAUUUCCCAUAUUAUGUAAAUUUCGAAUAUUGUCCCAAGAUAACUUGCGCUCUCUCCAAACCGGGUGGCCAUAAAAACCCGUAAACUGCCAAUAUACAUUAUCAUCAUCAUUCAUAAAAAUAAUAUCAAUAAAAUGAGACGACACAUAGUUCAAAACAACUUUAUUCAACUUAUUAUAAAACAAGACUAGGCCACCAUCCCGACCAUCACUCUCCACUACAAUCAUCAACUCAAAAGAUAGAAAACGACGCAGCUCAUCGGCCUUACAUUUAUUCAAGUGUGAUUCAGAGAGAAAAAUCAAGUCUUCUUUGAUCCGCCCUUAGAGUUCCAAGAGUUCACGAACUGUCGUGGGGGAGAGCAUACCACGACAGUUCCAUCCUAGGAUCCUCAUUUGGCCCGGUGGCCCCCCUCCUCGGAGGCCGCCUAUGCGCCAUCAUCUCCAACCGACUCCCUCCUCUGCUGUAUGUAAGCAUCUUCCUCCUCUUUCUCGUUCGCUACAUGUGUAAUAACCCCAUCCCCAUCCUUCCUAGUUUCAACUCUACCCAUACAAAUUCUCUUAGAGGAAACACUCAUCUCACCAUACAACAUACGUUCUAGUUUUCCAUCUCUCUCUCAAAAGAAAAGUUUAAAUCACUACCCGUUGGUGUCAAGAUAGACUAAAUUACCAACAUUUAGACCCGAACGCAUCUAGGUGACGCUCGCUGUCAUCUUAGUCAGCGUUAAUGCGAUGUUUGACACCAGAUAUUUAACCUUGUACUGACGCCACGGCCCCUACCACUCCUUGAAAAUGAAAUGGCGAGCCGUCGUUAGCCCGCCACGCAGACACGCACACACACGCACGGCCUCGUCUUAAUCUCGAGAUUAAACCGGAAAGCAAACUCUAAUAAAUCCUCCACCCCCGGAUCGACAGCCUCUGCAUCGGCAGGCAGCAGCAAAACAACAGCCCAAUCGAGGGUCACUCCACACCACCACCACUCUCUUCCCCCAAUCCCCCGCUCCUCCUCCCCGAAACCCUAGCUGGAAUGGAGGCCAAAUCCACCACCCCUCCGCCGCCGGGCCCCGUGCUGGGCGCGCCCGUCGGCUACCCGCCGGCCGCCGUCUACCCGGCCGCCCCGCCCCCCGGCUACCCGCACGCGCCGGCCCUCUACGCGCCCCAGCCGCCCCCCGCCGCCGUCGCCGCCGCGUCGCAGCAGACCGCCGCGCAGCAGCAGCAGCAGCUGCAGGUGUUCUGGGCGGAGCAGUACCGCGAGAUCGAGGCCACCACCGACUUCAAGAACCACAACCUGCCCCUCGCCCGCAUCAAGAAGAUCAUGAAGGCCGACGAGGACGUCCGCAUGAUCGCCGCCGAGGCGCCCGUCGUCUUCGCCCGGGCCUGCGAGAUGUUCAUCCUCGAGCUCACCCACCGCGGCUGGGCGCACGCCGAGGAGAACAAGCGCCGCACGCUGCAGAAGUCCGACAUCGCCGCCGCCAUCGCCCGCACCGAGGUCUUCGACUUCCUGGUGGACAUCGUGCCGCGGGACGAGGCCAAGGACGCCGAGGCGGCCGUCGCCGCCGGGAUGCCCCACCCCGCCGCCGGCAUGCCCGCCGCCGACAUGGGGUACUACUACGUCCCGCAGCAGUAACGCCUGCAGUAUGUUACAGCGGACUUAAGUUGCAUCUAAGAUUGUGCUGUUGAUUUAGUGCUCUCCUAUGUUUGUUUGUUCACCGCUGAAUAAUUAAGAUGUUGUCAUCAUUUGAGGGGCCUCCUCUAUGUUAUAAGUGAUUCGAUCCAAGAAGAAUCGGUGUAGGUUCUUCUGAUCGAGGCAGGCCGUAUGAUGCUCAUGCAUGUCUAACUGAUAAGAUAAUUUAUCUCGUGGCAUUUCUCUGAUUACUUUUGUUCAUCGUAAUUUGCAGUGAAAUGGUUUGAUUGAUGUAUAAUCCAUGUAACUAUUACCCUGUUGUAUUUUAGGCAUUUAGGUUGCACAAUCAAAUAUUACAACAACUAUGGGCCAAGUGUUCGUAUAACUUCUAGCUUUUAUGUGCAUGUUUAAUUGGUACAACCUUUGCUAUAUAUUCAGAUAAUUCAGAUACAUGCUUCUUUGGUAAGUGGAUACUACCAAGGGCGUAACACCGUUCCCUGUAUGAUGUAAAAUUUAGUCAUGCAUAUGUGACUGUCUCUGAUGUCAUAUGGCCGUAGGGACUGAAAUUGAAGUUUUGAUAGUUAAUGUGAUUCUUGUUGUUAUUUGCAAAACCAGUAACACAUCAUAGGAAUGGGGAAUUUGCAAUGCAAACUCCUGACAUUUUCUUUGGUUUAACAAUAUAUACAUUCCUUUAUUCUCUUUGAGGUCCUAAUUCCUCAAGGCACUUUGGUUAAAGAUGGAUUAGUUAUGAGUAACUUUUUUAAAACUAGAAAAAUAUAAUGUUUUAGAUACCAAAUAGCUUUGCGUGUUCAUUCUCUUAUACUACUCCUUUCGUUUCUAAAUAUAAGUCUUUUUAGAGUUUUCAAUACGAAUUACAUACGGAUGUAUAGAGUAUAGACAUAUUUUGAAGUGUAGAUUCACUCAUUUUGCUCUGUAUGUAGUCUAUAUUGGAAUCUCUAAAAAGACUUAUAUUUAGGAAUGGAGGGAGUAUUAUGUUGGGCUCAGUAUGGUAUCCAGCGACUGUGAAUUGGACUACUUGUGCUGCAGCCUGCAGCGACAUUUAAGUUAACUGCCCAGUUAACUACUACUCGGCACUUGACCAAAUCAAAUACCCCCUUUGUGGCCAAUUAACUGGGCCAGUCGAUUAAUCGAUCUGGCAGCUGAUUAAAGGCUGAAAUUUCAGAUGGACCGAUUAACUGGCAGAGGAAGAUGUGUAUGUUGUUGUGAUGCUACUGGUUGGCUAUCUGCAUUGCUGCUAUGUCCUCUCCUCUGUGUAGACUACUACCACUGCAAGUGUUGCAUCUCUGAAAAUAAAUUCGGAUGAUAUGGGGUGGCCUAGGGUAUAUAAGAUAUCAAGAUAUGCACUCCUUCUGAUCCAUAAUAAUAUAGAGAAUGAACAACUAAUGUUGAUUGAAGGGAGUAGCAAACUUUGGGAAAUGAUUGUUUGCCAAAGACAAUUUUGCUGUGCAUCAGAUUUGUUCUGUUGUGGAGUUAUUGAAGCUUGCUUGCUUUUGCUCGGAAAAUAUAUGCUAAAAUCAGAAUUUUGAAGUUGGAUUGCAGGGGGGAUUGUGUGUCACGGAUUUCUUUACCAAAUGGCUCUUUCAGUCUUUGCUUUAGAAAACUGAUUACAUUUGCAGAUGUCAUGUUUUGUACAGAGAUUCAAUCUACUUCAUAUGCCUGAAGAAGGAUAGCAUCAAUCUGACUAUUUGUUUAGUGCUUCAUAUGCCUGAACCAAAGGAUUGCAUCAACCUGACUAUAUUUUCUUUAAGUUUGACAUGCAUAAAUGGAAACGACCUUUUUUUCUUUUCGGGUGUUAAAAACAACAGUUGAAGAACUGAAGAAGUAAAAGAGCCCCAACAGUGGACAAACUUUUCAUACUAGCCGUGAAGUCAGAAUGGCCAAAUUAGCAUUUCACUCUGCGUUGCAGCUAAUACUGAUGAAUCAUUCAAAGAAGCUUCGAACUGUUACAAAGAGUCACAAGCUUUAAACCCUUUCAACAUCUCUGGGGAGAGAAAAUUAAUGUGGAUUAUCUCUAAUCAUCAAGCAGAGAAACAGUGAUCUGCACGAUGCAAACAAGACUUAUGUUCUUGUUUCGUCCGAAUCAGCUCACCACGAAGCUUUGUAACCUUGAAAUUAGGAAAGCAGAAUUUGUCAAGGAUCAAGAACAACGUUUUAGGCACCGAGCAUUUCAAUCAUCAAAAAUCUUUGUAUGCACUCCCUUGCCACUCUGGGUGGUCUGAUGUUAGAAGUUAGAACAACAAUCCGGUUUGGUAUAGAUUGUGAAGAAAUUGGUGAAGAUUAUGGUGAAGAUUAUGUUGAAACCAUGUUUAAAAGUUCAACAAAAUUGUACCCGAAAAAAUACAGAUGCUAGGAGGGUGAUGUUCUAGAAGUAUGCAAAAUUUCAAGGUUCGGUCCUAAAUCAUUCUGUAGAUAUGUGAAAAUAUAAAUUCAUCAAUAAUAUAAACGUUUUCUGUGUGAUUUUUGCGCAGUUUUCACAGGUUUCCACUCCAAGUUGGUUUCCCCACAAUAUUUUCUCUAGAUAGUCUGCGAUGACUCCUAGGAUUCCAGUAACGGUGUGCAGGCUAGAAUCAGCACACCAAGAAAAAGCCUACAAAUGCAUAUAAUAGUGUAAUGACGCAAUCACGGUGACAAUAAGCUUCGACAACAGAACAACCACAACGAGUGCACAGAUCAUCCAACAUAUUCUUUCAUAGUUUUGUAAUCAUCAAAACAACAGGUUUGCAGGGAGAAUUGGGUUGUCCCUUGCCGGUUCAACCAUAACAAUGUAUAAAUCCGUAGUUCCGUAGUUGAAGAGCACAUGGAGACUUUCAACCAUACAAUGUACUCCCUCUGUAAAUUAAUAUAAAAACGUUUAGAUCACUAUAAGCUGCUAUGAAUGGGUCAUACAAAUAAGCUUUGAAUCGUUACAAAGAGUACAUCUGGGGGCGGAGAAAAAAAUGUUGGAAAUUCUCUGAUCAUCGGAGCACAAGCAGUGUUCUGUCUAUGCAAAUAACACCAUGAAGCCUGCGGCCCUAGAAGCACAUCGUUUCCUCCGAAUCAAUUCACCAGGAAGCCUACGACCCUAGAAUUAGAGAAGCAUUAUUUUGUUGUAGAUCAGAACAAAUUUCAAGCGCCGAAAAUUUCAGUCAUAACAAAUCUGCUGGCGUGGGGAUUAGUCAUGAAUUUUCAGAAGAUCUGAUCCACAGGGAGUAAACAGGAGGGUUUUUUUUUUUUUUUGCGGGUCACACAGGAGGUAAAUUCAACUCACUGAAAACUCGAAUCGGCUGUGUCCUAGGCGCACAGGAUGAGCUUGCCGGAGGGCAAGGCUACGGCGGCGACGGCGAGGAGGCAGGCGGUGACGACGUUCCGGUAGCACCACCGGAGCGGGCCCCACGCCCCCGCGCCCUCGACGCUGGCGCAGUUGGUCCUCGUCACCCCGCACUGCGGCUCCUUGGACAGGUCGAAGGACGCGCCCUUCAUGCGCAGCUCCUGCACGCACCGCGCGAGGGCCCGGGCGUCGCCGCGCUCCCGCCGCAGCCGCCGCGCGGCGCGCCAGUAGGCGCAGACGCGGAGCUGCACGGCCGCGGCGAGCGCGAGGGAGGCGGCCAGCGAGAGGGACGAGGGCGCCCACCACCUCCUGCAGGCGCGCGACGGGGCGCCGCCCGCGACGGAGGCGGCGAAGAGGAGCGCGAGGGAGAGGCCGUGGAGGGCGAGGAAGGCCGCGCAGAGGUAGAAGGCGUCCCGCCGCGCCGCGUCCAUGACCGCCUCGAGCGCGCACGCGCGGCGGUUCAGGCGGGACUCCUCCCGCUGCCACAGCUUGAGCAGCAGCAGGUGGCCCCCGCUGUCGGCGAUCUCGCCCAGCGGGUGGUGCCCCGACGCCGCCAUGCCGGGGAACGCGCCGCUGGCUGGCUCCGCUCCGUCGCCGGUGACCGGGAUCUCCACGACGUGGGCGUCGUUUUUGGUGGGCUCCGCCGCCAUUGGAAGUUGCGUUCUGAAUUGGAAGGUUUCGAGUUGAUGUGAGAUCGGGCUCGNNNNNNNNNNNNNNNNNNNNNNNNNNNNNNNNNNNNNNNNNNNNNNNNNNNNNNNNNNNNNNNNNNNNNNNNNNNNNNNNNNNNNNNNNNNNNNNNNNNNNNNNNNNNNNNNNNNNNNNNNNNNNNNNNNNNNNNNNNNNNNNNNNNNNNNNNNNNNNNNNNNNNNNNNNNNNNNNNNNNNNNNNNNNNNNNNNNNNNNNNNNNNNNNNNNNNNNNNNNNNNNNNNNNNNNNNNNNNNNNNNNNNNNNNNNNNNNNNNNNNNNNNNNNNNNNNNNNNNNNNNNNNNNNNNNNNNNNNNNNNNNNNNNNNNNNNNNNNNNNNNNNNNNNNNNNNNNNNNNNNNNNNNNNNNNNNNNNNNNNNNNNNNNNNNNNNNNNNNNNNNNNNNNNNNNNNNNNNNNNNNNNNNNNNNNNNNNNNNNNNGCUUAAGGAAGGAAGGGAAGGGGUGGUGUGCGUCCAACGGUCGGGUACUUUAGUGAGGCAGGCAACGGUCGAAUUUUCGCUGGGCCUCACGGUGAUGGCCCAUUCACAUCAUCAAUGAGAUCCUCAUUUUUGUCUCAAAAAAAAAUCAAUGAGAUCCUCAUUUUGCUAAAACAAAAAUCAAUGAGAUCCUAAAAAAAACUUAGAAAACUCAAAUAAAAAAGCAUCCAUGAUUAUUAAGUAAAAGACAAUUCAUCGGCGAUGGUUGUUGUUCUGGUGCGCUGGUCCUACAGGACCUUAGUACGACGACUUCCCGACUGUCUACUACAACAAGGUCUGUCUGGCUCCGAUGAGGGAGAGGCGAUGACGGCAGCGUGCCUUCGGCUCGCUUCAGUGCUUGUAGUCGUCGCUAGGUGAUCUAUGGACCUGGAUGUAUUUUUUAUUUCUGGUGUUCUUUGUACUAUCUUGACAGUUGAUGAAUAGAUUGAAAGUUUUCCAUGCAAAAAAAACAGUUGUCCCGAAAGUAGGGCGACCUUUCUCAGAUUGUCUAAGUUUAGGUCUGCCAGGGCCAAUAUGCCCCAUAUUAUAUUGCAAUUGAUAAAAUACCCCAUCUUUGCUCUAUACCGUGCCCAGCGACGGAGGCUCCACUGAGGUGAGUUGGUGAACUUGAGAUUUGCUUAAUUUUGUGAUGUGUUUUCGAUGUGUUGGGACUUGAAACCUUCAUCUAUGUGUUGGAACUUGAGAUUUACUUUGUAAUGUGUUGCUCUAUUUUGCUAUGUAAUGGAAAACUUUAUCUAUUUUGUGUGACUAGUGUGUCAAACUUGUUGGACAACAAGAAUGUAUGCCAUUUUCUCUGCUAUAGUUGCUUAAAUUGUCUGAAGUUUGAACAGUACACUAUGAAUAUACUUGAUUUUUUUUGUAAAAUUUUCAGGUUUUUCUGGGUAGUUCAAAUGUUUGCCCAAACUUUGGACAAACUCGGACUAAAAUUUCAAAUUUUGUUUCUCUCUGCCCCUUGUCCAGAAUUGGUUGAAAUCUGAACAGCGUACUAAGAAUAUAUUUGAUUUUUUGUAAUAUAUAUAUAUAUAUAUAUAUAUAUAUAUAUAUAUAUAUAUAUAUAUAUAUAUUUCUGGGUUGUUCAAAUUUUCGCCCAAAAUUUGGGAUCUUGUUUUCUCUUUGCCCCUUUUCCAGAAUUGGCUGAAAUUUGAAUAGUAGACUACUAUGGUUAUAUACUUAUUUUCUGUAAUAUUACCGGAUUUUUAUGGGAAAGUUAGUUUUUUUGACAAAAUUUGAAAAAACAAAUUGCGAUGCAUACAAGAUUGCACGGGUUACUAACAUUUUGUUUUUGAUCAGGGGUAUUUUGGUCUUUUACACCCACUCAUUUAUGUCAUAUGGUAAAGAGACAUCAUCAAGUUAAGUGUGUGCUAUUUCUGUCAAGAGGCAAAGCAAAGAUGGCUCAUUUUACCAAUUGCAAUGUAAGAUGGCCCACGUAGAGCAAAGGUAGGUCAUGAUCAAUAAGCUCAAAUUUAUAAGCCUCUUAUGUAUAUUUUCAAAAAAAAUAAACUACCGAAAAAGGAUUUCCCCCCGCUUUAUAUUAUAAAGCAAACAUCACCACAUACAUCUGAGCGAGCUGAACAAACACACGCCACCACGACACACAACACACACACCCAAGGCUAGAUACAAGGGUGCCAAGCACCAUCACACCACUCGGACACAACCAAGCCAACAAAGUAUGAGCUACGAAGAACUACUUGGAGUCACCGAGGGGGUGAGACGGACCAUGACGAAGCAAGGACUUCAAGACGGUGCCCCCCAGAAGGGUACGACCACGGAUAGCCGCCACCGUCCGAUCCGCAGAUCAAGUUUUCACCCAGAGCGACGCAAGGGGUGAGAGCACCGUGACGGAGCCUUCAAGAAGAAUACGACGUCCACAAACGCCGCCACCGACGGCCAGAAAAGGACUGGGCAGGUGAUGAACCCCGGUGCUCGCACCCACCGACACACCCCUGCUCCGCCAACCACCCGCAGUCACGUCCCCCGCGAGACCAUGGCUGCCCGCCCGCACCUGAGACGCAGGUUCCGCUCCCGAACGCCACACCUCCCGCCGCCAGGGCCGCCGCCCAACAUCUAGACACCCCUAAGACCAUCCAAAGAGAUCAACUUUGCACCAAAGGAGCCCCACCGACCGACGAACCGCAUCAUACAUCCUGCCUUGAACAUCGUCGGAGCUGCGACAGCCAACACGCGGCCGAGGAAAGGGGAAGGUGGGGGAGCGGAUGCAUCCGGACCGGCACACCCCUGUGCCAGUGACGGGGGCCCGAGCAUGUCGGCGCCACCCAUCCCUCCAACCAGCCUCCCCACCGGACACUCCUGUGCCGCCCCACCUCGGCGGCCGACGCAACACCGCGCAAGGCCACCGACGCAGACCCGACCACCGGCAAGGGGGACCCCAAGUAUAGCCGCCGAACGCCAAGAAUGCUCACCGGGGAGCCCAUCUGCCCUACCGCCGUUGUCCAGCCGGCGGGACGACUGGAUUCCGACCAGCACGCCCACCUGCCACCGCCGCUGCGCCUCCACCACCACCAGCCGAGGCCACGGUAGGGGCGGACGCCCGCAGCCCGCGGCGUCCGGACCCAGAUCUGGCCGAAGCUGCCGCCGGAGCCCGCCGCGCACCACCUCCGCUGCAGCCCCUUCAUGCCGCCGCCCACAACUCGCAUCGCCGCCACCACCAGCUGCUGCCGCCGCGCCCUGAGGAAACGCCACGCCGCCGCCCGACCCGGAGGCCCGCGCCUGCCGAGCCGAGAGGGGGAAGGAGAGGGCCCCGCCGCCGCCAGCACUGGCCGGGCUUUGCCCGGUCGGGGCAGCGGCGAGGGGAGGGAGGAGCGAGGAGGGGGGCUGCUCGCGGCGCUAGGGUUUUCCCCCCGGGUGCUCGCGGGAGCGCCACCAAAAAUAAACUACAUAAUCCCCCGUGUCGUCCUCUGGGCGACUCGGGCGGCGAUCUGAUCCUCUUUUCCCGGCCGUCCUUCUCGUGCGUCCUCUCCUCGCCGCCGCCGGUCAGCGCCGCCGGGCUUGCCCGUGUGGUCGACGGCGGCGGCGGGGCUCCAUACCCGUGGCGCUUAGGCAGUAUUUGGCGGCGUACGAGCGGCGACUGGACGCCAUGAAGGUGGAACUUGCAGCGACGGCGAGGGAUUUUGGUUGGUCGGCGGCCUCGCAGCAACGGGUGCACGUCUUUCCUUACCUUCCCUGGCGGUCAGGAGCAUCAAGUGGCAGGGGUGCAGACGGGCAUGAGGUCCAUGAACCAACCUGUACAGCACUCUCAUGCCAGAUAGGCGCAAGGGCGCAGCGUGCUACGGCGUAGGCCAAGCGACGGAUGUCGUGCCUGUCGCCCACGCUGUGCGUUCGAAGAUGGUGGCCAUGGUGGUCGUCCACUCCGGCAAAAGGCCGGUGGCACUAUGGAUCUGGCUAGUAUGAUGCUGUUUUGCACUGCCCUAGACCUUAUUGGUUGUGGUAGUGGUCGGAUGGCAUCGUCUGAGGAGUUUUAAACUUCCGAUCCAACGACAACAGCGAGUUCCUAUUCACGGACUGCGUCGAGGAUGGAGGCGAUAGUGUCAACGUGUGUUGCUGUCGUCUUAUAAAGAUCAGCCAUAUGUUGUUGCUUGCGAGCACGGCGGGCCUUCGGAUCAUCCCGAACUUGGAUUUUGGCAGUGCUGGUCUCCUGUCUCCCCGCGAAGACUUCGCCAUGUUGUGUCGAGCGACCCUCGCCAUGGCUCAUUAGCCUAUCGCCGGGACGGUACGCGUGUGCUGCUAGGAUCGAGGCAAGUGGAGGAGACAACAUAUGAUGACUUCGAUUGGGUGGUACUUUUUGGGUACCUAGUCUCAAGCUUCGGGGUGAAAACCCUAGGUCUGACCAUUUGGUUAUACAUGGCAAUGGUGGUGUUCUCUACGUCAUUACCUUGAUGAAGGCAUUGCUUGGAGUUUACUCGGAUUUGAUUUUCAGGGUGAAAACCCACGAUCUAACCUUCGAUGGUUUGGUCGGGCUACGGCAUCGCUUGCACGUCAUUCUCUUCCUGGAGGCAUCGCUUUUGAAGAACUUACCUUGUAGUCCUUGUGUUGUCAAGAGAUGGUUUGGUGCCAAUGGUCACUGCUGUAUGCUGUCAAAUCAUUGUUUUUAUCGCUUUCGGGGUUUUUAUUUUCUUUUUCUUUUGCCUAGGCAUAGCUUUGGUCUUGUUGACUUUGCUAUUUGCCGACGUGAUUUUUCAUAUGCGUGUGUUAGUGUUAGCUGUGUGCAUCCUAAUUAUGCAGAGGCCGGGUGUGUACUCACUAUAAUUGUAUCCCUCGAUGCUAUAUUUUGAGUCAAUAAAAAACACUCUUUGUCAAAAAAAAUAGAAGGUGGAGAACAGACUCACAUAGCACUCGCGUAUGUUCCCCACCCAGAGACUGAGGAGAGGGGAGGGGGAGGGGUGUACCAUGUCCUAUCCUCUUAUCAUUACUAUCAUAGUCAACCCCAUCGAUGUUCUUGGGAAGGUCAUAACAAUGUGGUACUUAUCUUCUCGUAUAGAUCACAUAUCUCAAUGAGAAACCUCACUCGAGGUUAUAGUUGUGUUUGAACACAGCAUCCCAUAUACAUAGAAUGCAUGUGCAAGAGCAUCUCCAACAACAACCCUAUAAUUGAUGACCCAAAACUGGCUUUAGGUGUGGAGAGAGAAGAUUUGGGUUCAACAGAAAAGUUUCUGCUCUUUCAGCAGCUCUAAAAUUAUUUUUUGGUAUCGUAGAAUUUGAAACAUGGACAAGCAUCAUAAAUUCAUUGCAUAUUUUAAGCUCUAGAAUGAAAUGUUGCACAUUAAACAUGAAACGACAAACUUAAACACUGGCAUUUUCAUAGAUCCCUAGCACUACAUUGCGAUAGACCUAGCUCUACUCCUAAUUGUAGUAGUUGUCUAAUUCCUCGUCGGAGAUGUCAAUCACCCCUCCGCUGGAAGGGCUGGCCUCGUGGUCAUUGGCGGUAGACCUACUCCACGUCUUCAUCUCCUCCUCAUCGAAGAGCUCCGCCUCCAAUAAUUUGUUGCGCUCCGCCUCCCUCGACUCGCAGAAUGCAGUGUUGUUGAUUGUGGAGCUGUGAAUCAACCUCAAUGAGGUUCUCUACAUAGACCUCAUAGUUGGCCUCGGCCUUGCGUUGCUCCCCGGCCCAGCGGUGCUCCUUCCUCGUCACGGGAGACGGCCCUAAUGGAAGGGGCGAGAAAAUCCGCAUCCAAGUAGAAUUUUUGUUGUACAUGAUGAGAAACCUCUUCUGAGGUUAUAUUUGUGCUUGAACACGGAAUCCCCAUAUAAAUAGAAUGCAUGUGUAACGUGUUGGGAAGCCGCUAGGUGAUAACUAGAUGGAGCUCGAUGCGCUCGAGUUGUUUGUUAAUCUGGUGUGGCUCAACCAUGUAACAAUGCCUUGUUAAAGGUAGAUUAGUUUUUUUUACGGGAAAGUAAUUUUAUUCAUCAAAUGACAGCCAGAUCGUUUACAAUCAAGAAUGAAAUGAAAUCAAGGAGGUAUUAUCCCAAAUAGACGGGGAUUUAGAAAUAUAACAGGAUUUAGCCAGGCAAUCUGCAACUUCAUUAGCCUCCCUCUUGCAAGGUUAAAAGUGGAUUGGUUCAUUGCACGCACACAUAUGGUUAGCGUGGGGGAGAUCUAGGCAAUUGCAAUAGGGGCAUGUGCAAUGCAAGGUGCUUAUGUAGGCGUGCUUAAGAAGAUGGAAUAUUGCCACAUCAGUGAGCACUAAUGUAAAUUGCAUCUACUGUAGUGCAAGCUCCCCUUCGUAGGUACUUGGAUGAUCUAUUACACUAAUUACCACAAGUUAAAUGCACAAGCAUCGUUGCCAAAUCAAGCAACAAAUCCUUCAAUAUAAGCAAAAGUUUUAUCCAGCGUGGCAAUAAAAUUGCUUCUUUAUCCUGCUAAGCACAUUGCAUGCUCCCUCGAACGUGCAACAUGCCGCCGUGCAAGGUUUCACUAGUAAUAAAAUAGGUUAAAAUUGACAAUUGAACAUUCUUCAAAAGUAACUCACUGAUUCUAGAUCCCCUCCGUUCCAAAAUAGAUGACUCAACUUUAUACUAACUUUAGUACAAAGUUGAGUCAUCUAUUUUAGAACGGAGGGAGUAUGUCUUAAAACCUUUGUCGAUUAAAAAGGUUUAAGGUAAUUCCACCUCAAGUGAUUAAUAAUCGACAUUUCUAAGCACAUAUGAUCUAUAUUGGCUGUUUACGACCUCGACAAUUUGCCAUGUAUGACUAGGUGGGAUAGGUAGAAUAGAAUUCGAUUUUCCUACAACAUGUCUAAUUUUGACAAAUUUUAUGCAUUGAAUUUGCAAUAUCCGCACACCACAAUUAAAUUGGGCACAAUAUUACUACUACACUGAUCAACCAGUGAACUUUGUAUUGUAAUUUUGACCAAUAUCAUGGUGAGCUUGUGAUGUUCAUCCACGCACAACAAUUAAUUAAAUUGUGUGUCGAAAGUAUGGUACCCUGUUGAUAAGACCCAAGAUCCGCCACUGGUUCAAGGACUUGUACAUCACAUAAUGUUUCAGACUCUUGGUGAUUACUGCAUCAACUCUUGGUGCUUACAGUGUUAUUAGUGUUUUUACUCACCUGUGGCUAUGUGACUGAGCUAUAAUCAAAUGUUCGUGGAGUAAUAAGUAUGUCAUCACUUCAAACUUCAGUCAGGUACUCCUCCAUUUUGAUGGAUAACUUUGCUCUACCUCAUCAGCUCCGUCUGACACACCAGAAAUGGUGUUGUGAGGCUUUUGUCUGCUCUGAACAUGAUGCCUUGAACUCAUCCUCGCCCUCAAAAGCAAGGAAUUGGCCAUCACGCUGACUGAACUAAAACCCAUCAGUGCUCCAGCUAUUGACGGGGUCAGCAUCGUACCCGUCACUGGCAGCAAUGCUCCAGCAGCAACGGGUAGCCCAACCUGCAAAGUAUCGCAUCAUAACGAGGCCUCGCAAGCAGGAUUCUGAGCAGGCAUAUAUUUUUAAUCUAAGUGUAACUUCUUUAAAACUGAGGUCCAACAUUAUCCUGGCAGUUGAUAACUUAUGAAACACAUGAGCAAGGCAUAAAGAGACAAGAAAGGGAAACAUACAAUGUUAUACAGAAAAGCCCACCAAAGAUUUUGCUUCACUGUUCUCAUGGUUUCUUUACUUAACUCUAAAGCAUCAACAAGCUGCAUCAAAGACCCAUCAGCGCAGUUUAUUAGAAAAAAGAAAGAUGGUACUAGCACAAAGAGGGAAGUAAAGUUCAAUGAAUUUGGCAAUGGUGUCAGUGAGUAACUCCAAGCUGCCGUGAAUGAAUUACCUGAGAUAACCUAUUACCCAUGAGAACAACUGAAGAUACAUCACUAGCUGCACCAACACCCCCACCCAUUGCGAUUCCAACAUCAGCUAAAGCUAGGGCUGCAGCAUCAUUGAUGCCAUCACCAACCAUCGCAACUAACUUGUGCUCCUUUUGAAGUUCAGAUAUGAACUUCUUUUUCUCAUGUGGUUUAACUUCAGAAAUCACCUGAUACCAUUUAAUUAUGUACACAAGUAAAUCACACUGAAAAGGUAACAAAGGAUAAACAAAUCAUGGUAAGAAAAGAAUCCUAAUGAAUGAAAGAAACGUUUUUUCAUGCUUCCCAUUGUGGCUGAAAUGGUUUCAAUCAUAGAUCUUUAUGUUCGCUUAAUAGUGCAUGGGGAUGAGAAAUUGCUAAUACCAGAUGAAAUCAAUUUACAUAUUAAAGCCUUUCAGCUUGCUGUAAGAUUUCCAUGCAUAAUUAAAAGCAUGAAUCCAUUUCCUACAAAGAUACAUAAUAAUAUCAUAACUUUAUGACAAAUGUUAAUUAUUUUUCUUUACGAAAAGUUGAACAGUGGUAUUUACCAUCUGAAUUCAUAUUUUCAGGUAAAUUAAUAGGCAGAAAAUUUAUGCAGCAUUAGGCUUCUAAAAUUAAUGAUAAAACAGCACUACCGGUGCACCUUCUAAGAUGUACUAUAUAAAUUGCAUAUUUGAAGUCAGACAACAUGUUCAUUCUCAUACUUUGAUGUCAUAUAGGAGUACUACAGAAGUUUGUUGUUUUACUACAGGAACUAUUCACCAGAAAAGAAAUGUCCACAUCGGUAAAGCAAAAUUUAGUUGAUAUUACCUUGUCUAACUGAAUGCCAACAACUGAAGCAACAUUCAUAGCAGCACUCUCCUUGUCCCCAGAUAACAUAUACACACUAAUUCCUUGCUUAGACAGGGCACUGAUAACUUGAUGAGAAUCUUCUCUGAUCUUGUCCUCGAAACAAAUAAGACCAGCUAGAGUACCAUCAACUGCUACAUAUGCAACAGACUGACCAAAACUUUCUGCUUCAUGAAAUGGGUCACGAACAACACCAUGCCUGAGAUAUUGUCAAAACAAUUGUUUACUAGUGAGCACAGUUCCUCGGUGCAACAUAACAAUUACACAUGGAGCUAGUGUAAUGGAGCAGAAAAUUGAUGCAAUAAUCCAAACAAAGUUGUAUAGCUAGAAUGAGGAAAGAUAUAUGUCCCUAGUACAAGUCUUAGCACAACAAUUGAAUAAAUAAUUCAAGUGUACCUCCUAAUCCAGUCUAAUGUACCAACCGAAACCUGUUUCUCACCAAUCGUAGCCACAGCACCAGACCCUGGUUCUUCCAUAAAGGACCCAUCCUUUGCCUGUAACGAUAUACAUGGGAAAAUGGCGAGCAUAUAAACACAGUAAAAUCUGCAACUCUAAUGGGGAAUAAACUGUGCCAUGAAACAGAAAUGUCAAUUAGGUGAUCUCAUUUUAUCAUAAAAGCACUAUUGAGCAGAAUAUGUCAAUUAUCAAGUUAAAUGGCAAAGGGUGCAAGAUGUUUGUUUUCUUUCAACUCUGGUGCAAGGGUGGUUAUGGGCCUAAUGAGAUUCAGCCACGGUCUGAAUUCAAGUAGCAGAACAGUUAUCCUACAACAGCCGUUUUAGUGUACCGAGGCAAUUGGCAUACUGAGGUCAUUUUAUCUCAGACUUGUUGAGCAUUUCUGCUGUGAGUACCUUCAUAUUGAUGCAAUUGGCAGCCUGGGCAGCUUCCAUGAUCGCUUUUCCAAGUGGAUGGUUUGUAUUUGAUUCUACUCCAGCAGCCAAACUAAGAAUGUCACCUUCUGUCCAUUCAUUGUUCCAGUAAUCUCUGAUGACAAAAUAUGGUUUAUCAACAGGAAGAUCAGGGAAAUAAACUUCACUUCUGCUGCUGAGGGUACAUGAAGUGCAUAAGUCACACAUACGAUUUGGAAAAAAAAACGCUAUCCAUGGAAAUACAUUGCAAAUUUCAGGGUGUCCCAUCCUAUGUGCAGCUAUGUUUUGCAGUGAGUUCCAGUUAAAUGGGAAGUAAAAAGUAACGCAUAAAAAUUCUAAAUUAUAACCAAGUACAACUUUGAGGAAAGUAAUUAGAUACAACAUACAAAUUCAGUAAACAGAAUCAGAACCACUUAACUUUGUAUUUACACCUCCCUCGCUGUGAGAAGCUAUUACUUUUGUCACUACAGGUUUCCCAAUUGUUAAAGUUCCGGUCUUAUCAAACACAAUGGCAUCAACUUCCGCAAAUUUCUCCAAAACAUCCCCACCACGUAAAAGAAGUCCUCUCGUUGCACCUAACGAAGUACCAACCUGGAAAUAGUAUAUAUGAAUAAUUGUUGACAGAACGUUUAUUCAGGCAAAAGGGGCCAUAUCCUUUAGUUCCAUACCAGCACUGCAGUGGGUGUGGCAAGACCAAGAGCACAUGGGCAAGCAAUUACCUACACAUGAAGAUCAAUACCCUUAACUGUUCAGAAAGUAGGGCACAUUGUAGGCAAGGAGAAGUUAAAUUAGAAAAAAAUCUAUCCUCAGCCCUGAACUAUGGUAUUUGGUCUGACUAGAACACUUUAAUAUAAAACCUUCUGUAAUAGACCCUGAACUUUCUAGAGUCAUUUGUCCUAACUGGUUUUCGAUGGUGGUUAUGUAUUCUGGGGGUUUCUAAAAAUGUGAACAAUCAUUGGUGUAAAGGAUGUUAGAAAGUGAGAACCUGCAAAUUUUCAGCCAAAGAUACAACCAUUUGUGUCAUGAACAAAAGAGGGAAAGAUAUAUCAAUCCAUCUCGUCUUUUUGGUACAGGAUACAAAUGAUCAUAUUCUGUGAUGCAAAUUUUCAGCUCCUUAUUUUAUGAGUUAUUCAUUCCCUACACCUUCGAAAUGUUUCACAUUUUUCUGGAAAACACAAAAAGACGAGAACAUCUAUCUUGUUUUUUGUACAUGGCAGAAAAACAUGCAUAUUUUUUUAUGAAACUUUGCAGAUUCUCAUUUUAUAGUAUUCCAUUCCAUUGCACCUAAAAAAGUUAUUUCAAGUUUACUAUAAACAAUGUUAUAGUCUAGGGUUGAAAUUGGACCAAACAAUAUAUUUCAAGGUUCAUGGUCAUUAACAUAAAUGAAAACCAUAAUUUAACAUUUAAAAUUGUUGGAGAGUUGUAUAGACAUAUGAGAGGUACAUAGAUUUCUGACAGCUACACCUGUGCAACUCAAGUCUUCUUAACACUUAAGAUGAUACAAGUAUGGGACUAAAAGCAUGAUUAAUCCAGUUACACCCAAUGAUCUUAUUUCCUUUAUAAGAAACCUUUUUUAAAAGUUCAAUCUUGAAAUGAACCUACACUUUCAACAUCCCUGCAUUUCAAACAAACAUGGCUGUUUUUCAUGUCAUUUAUUUUGUAAGCUCAAUAACUGAAUUUGGAAUUAGACAAUUUUUUCUCUCAAGACAACACCAUUCAAAGGAGUUUGCAGUUUACACUACCAUAUGCUACUUUAAGCAAAACAUUACUCUUUAUUCAAAGUAAAUAGACAGGAUAAGACUGUUAAACAUGUGUUUCUUGGAUCAUACCAGAACACUGCAAGAAAGCUGCAAAGCCAGAGACAUUGCACUUCCCUGCUGGAUAGCAGCAGGUACAAAUUGUGAACCAAAAAUACUCCAGAACAUAAAGGUAGCAGAAGAAAGCGCCAUAACGCCAUAUGUAAAGUUCCCGGCAACCUGUUAUGUAAUAAUAAAAUGAUUGACGCAAUUAAUCAUAGUAAUACAGUAUAGCCUAAACCUAUAACUAAUUCAGGUUAUGAUAUGGUAAGUGGAUGAAAAUAUCUCUAAGAUUGUUGUAACUGAUCAAAGAUCCGUCAGCAGUGACCAGGACAAAGACAGUAGAGGACGGUGUAACAAAUGCCCUAUGCGGAAACAUAUAAAAGAGCUAAUACUAAUUAUCUAAGACCCCGUUCCCAACACGGGACAAAAUCAAGGUUCCUAUUGGGUUCAGACCGUUUGCUGUGGUAUUCCUGUAUUAUAAACAGACCUUAAUAAAAAAUGGAAUCAAUAUUUCGAGUGAUCAGGAACUUAAAAGUAGAAUACAGCAGUAAGUGCACACAUCGUCUGAACCAAGAAACGUUUUGAACAUAUGUCUAAGUGCUAAACAGGCUCAAGUAUCUACUGGAAGAUACAUUUUUACUAAAUUGCUAAUUACAAUCUUGCCUAGGUCAAAUAAAAAUUGCAGAAAGUAGUCAAUGACCCAUAUUCCAUAAUUAUUUAGUCCACACAAAGGGUCCAUGUGUGGAACUCGUGCGCCAAACUGAACAUCGCAUCCACAUACAAAAUGUUUAUGUGUACAUAAUUGCGUUGGACAUAAUGAUAAAAUAGAACAAUUCAGCAUUAUAUCAGACAUUAACACUAAAUUAGUAGUAGUUCUCGUAGAGUUGGUCCCAGAGUCUCAGUUCCAAAUGUGAUGACAAAUAUACCUUGUCAGCUAAUCGCUGAACAGGGGCUUCCCUUGUCUGUGCUUCUUCCACUAAGUGAAGUAUGUCAGACAUGACAGUCUCACCGCCAGGUCGUCGAACUUCAACUGUCAGUUUACCGUUUAAGUUAAUGCUUCCCGCUGAUACUUCUGCCUAACAAAGGAAAAAAGAAUCAACACCAUACUCAUGCUAAUGUUCAGAUAUUACCUGAAUUCAGUGAGCCAGAAGGCACCAAUAUCUCCACAUAAGACAAUAUUAGGUGGUUCAGAAAACAUACCCCUGCAAUCUUAGUUACCGGCAUAGGUUCACCUGUCAAACUUGACUCGUCAACUGUACUUCUUCCAGCUUUCACAAGUCCAUCGGCUGGAAUGCGGUCCUGGACAGUGCACGAUAGCAAACAUUAUACUAAUAGGAUAAUAGCAUGCGAUCAUACACGAGCUACCCAUAAUGGCUAUAACCGCAUAAACAAAGUUCUAUGUGGACCUAUGACAGGAACAUAAUAUCAUGCACUUGUACCUGUAUAUGUUAUUAUGUUUACUCAUUAACACACAAGCAAAUAACAUGCCAAACUUUUAUAACUGCAAAGGUAGGAAGCAACAAAACUAUUACCCAUAAAAAAACAUGUGUAAACACUUUUAUUAAUUUGUGUGUUUGUCUGUGUGACUUAUAUUUACUCACCCCAGGCAGCACUAACAUAUAGUCCCCAACAGCAAGAGUACCACAUGGGACCUCUGUGAAUGAUGAUUGCUCUGCAUCAUUAUCCACCAUUAGGCGUGCUUUUGAUGGAAGUAUAUUGAGCAAUCCGGUCAUAUCACUAGCAGCUUUUAACUUCGCCCUCUGCUCAAGAUUCUUCCCUAGAAGAACAAAAGCUAUCAACAUAAUUGGUUCCUCAAAAAAUGUCUUCCAUCCCUGCAAGACAAUCAGUUGGUAUAAAAUAACUACCAUAAAAUAGAGCAGUUGUACAAUUAAAUGGAACCUGAAUUAUGACUUUGCUCAACAACAUCUGCAGAGCAGAGACAAUGAUGCAGUUGUGGUAAGGUCAAAUUCCUGGUUCCUAUGGUUUGAUGUAUCUGAGCUCAUGCAUGCAACUAUACAACAAUGUAAUCCUUCCAGGAAGAAAGUAGGAGGUACCAGCUUUGGAAUGAAGGCUGCAACUGAGCUGACAGCAAAAGAUGACAGAGCACCUAAACCAACCAACGUAUUCAUGUUUGGAGAACCCUUGAAUAGACUCUUUAUUCCAUCAAUAAUUAGUCUUCGUCCAGGCCCAAUAAAUGUAAAUAUUGAGAGAGACAAAUGGAAUCCAGUGGAAUGAAACAGGUGCACCAAUGGUGCAUUAACUCCAAAGAGAUGAGAAAUAUGUCCCAGUAGGCAAACAGCACAUAGUGCCCAAGAUACAGCAAGUUCUCGACCUAAAAUAGAAACCAAUGUCAUGCUAAUCAUAGAAAAGACUCAAACUUGGACAAAGAUCAUAGGGUUGAUGUUUAGUUGCCAAUGCGAAUUAAGUUUACCACUUUGCUUCAGAUUUUGCAGUUUUUCGCCCAUCUUUCUUUCAAAAACAUUCUGUGAACUGACUUUCGAAGAAUCUGCAAGUACAAUAGACAGUUGCAUGAAACUGGAUAUACUGGCGCCUGGCAUUAAAAUUUAGAGGGAAAUUCAGACAUAAACUGGAGGGCAAAGCCGAUAAAGUGAAUGACAAAGCAAUUUCAUCUGUCUUGCAUUACAUAGCAUAAUGUAACAACAGGACUUUGAGAUAUAUCCAGCUAAACAAUAGGCACUGGACCUCUAAAGCACCAUUCAUAUAUCUUGCAUAUAAAAACCACUGAAAUGCUUAAGCAGCAUGCCCAGUCAACUUCUAUUGAGGAACCUAUCCAUCAGCAGAUUUUGCACAUUAGGGACAACUAGCAAUUCUCUAAGUUCUAAACCAUUGUUCAAACAGUCCUCAACACAUCCAAUUAAAUGGUAUUAUAUCAGCCUCACGACAUUACAGUAUCAAUUGUAACAGUUUACCUCGCUGGCUGGAUUUGUACCCACAUGUUGUCAACUGGCUAGCGAGCUUCUCACCCAACUGCAGUUUCCAAUCCUGUACAGCUCUAUCUUCCGGCACAGCCCACACAACUGCCAUCUCAGUAGCAAGGUUGACAGUUGCAGACACCACCUGGGGCUGCAAACACAAGCACACUGGCUUAGAAAGACAGCUAGUUGACUAAUAAACACCAUGCCGGAAAACAGCUCUGAGCCAGUGAGACACGCCGAGGCAACUCACCUCAUUCUCUUUUUCUUUUUUUUUUCUUUUUUUGCGAAUAACUCACCUCAUUCUCCAAAAUGCGUUUAACGCUUGCUGCACAUCCCCCACACGACAUCCCCUGCAGUCACAAGUUCAAACGCUCAAAUGACUAAUGUAGUCACAGAUUACAUAGUACUAGAAGAAAACAUAAUUCCCAUGACAGCUUGAGAAGUUUCACCAUGCAACUAUAGCAUAUAGAACUGAAGUACCAUUAUUACUAGCAUAACGGCCGUGCAUUGCUACAGAACCACAAAUAUGAUUCAGUCGUAUUGGAUUAGUAGUUGUUGUUGUUGUUGUAUUGGAUUAGUACUACUCCCUCUGUUCCGAUGAAUAAGGCGUACUUCGUUUAAUUAAGACAAGACCUUUACCAACAAUUACUCUUUUAAUAUUUGAUUUAUGUGAUACAAAAUCACUAUCAUAACAAAGUACUUUUACAUACAAAUCUGGUCACACAAAUUUCAUGUCAUAUAACCUUGUAUUUAUGGAGGGUCAAAUGCAUGUCUUAACAAAACAAAAUACGCCUUACUUUUAGGAAUGGGGGGGAGUACUGCAGAGAAGAAACCCAAUCAAGCAGUCAACACCACACCUGCGUAACUGCCGCGGCGAUGGGAUCACCAUUGCAAGAUAGAUUUUAUUUUAUUUUUCAAAUCGAGGGGUGUGGUAAGUUCUAGAUGAAUGAGGGAGACUGGGGUGGAGUGAGGGAGUGAACUCACACCACCACCAACUCCAAUGAAGAGCAGAGAAGUAAAGACUAGCAGCUACAGUGAUUCCAUCUAAGGGGAAAAUUUUACUGGGACGUGAAGAUAUGAUGUAAGCAUUUACAAUUCCCAAGACAUACAUACCCCAACGUCAAGGAUUAUGGUAUCGGCUUCCAGCCCUGCCGCUUCCUCUGCCACCGCCGUCCCCUGGGAAGCACGCGGCCGCUUCCACCCAUCGCCGCCUCCAUCACCGCCGCCCCCUCCAUCUCCAUUCCCCCUACCGCACCCGCCACCGGGAGGACCGGUCGACGCAAGGGGGGAAGCCGAGACGCUCGCGAACCAGCGGCGAGGGGAGGCCGGGCCGCGGAGCGCUAGGCGCGCGAGCGAGAGGAGGAGCACGUCGCCGUUCACGGAGCGACGCUGGGCGGAAGCGGCGAAGACAGGGGCGCGGCCGAGUGGGGCCGUGAGGGGGCGGCCGCGGAGGAGGAUGUUGUGCGGGGACGUGGCGGGGAACGACCUGGAGCGGGAGGAGAUAGCCCUGGAGAUGGCGAGGAGGGGCGUGGACGGGUCCAUCCUCGGGAAGCUUCUAGAAGGGUCUACGCAGCGGCGGCAGCAUGCGGCGGCUCGGGCACUGCUUUGCUACUGCCGCUGUGUGCGCGGCGGCGUCGAGUGCCGGAGGUAGCGGGGAUUGUAGAGUACAGGCCCGUACCCGUACGACGAGGAAUUUGGAUAUUUGCAACUCUGUUUAAUGAGUGAAAACUCAUCAGCGGUCAUUGGACUUGUCCACAAAUUUCACUUUAACUCAUCAGCGAAGGCCACAUGCAUGCUUUUUUUCAAAUUUUCAAAAAUGUCGUGAUGUCGUGACAAUUCUCCUUUCGCCAAAUCCCUAGCCCAUGUCCAUGUCGUCCGUCGAAUAUGUCCUGAAUCGCAUCCUCGUCCGUAGCAUUCGCCGCCAUCUCCCGAGAAAGGUACAACCUACUGGGGCUCAAAGUAGACACGAUGCACGGCACCAUCAGUGGUCACCGGAGCCAUCAAGUCUGAGAGAGACUGUCAUUUUGGUAUCCCGUUGGGAGGUGGAGGCACAAGAGUCCGGGAGGCGGCACUAUGUUUUACCACAUCGACAAUGCCUAAAUCCACGAAAUAAGCAAACUCGAGGAACGCAAGGCAAGACCACGGGGAUGCUCCGGUUGUAUCCCCAUGUGAGCCCUCACGGAGGCCUUGCCACAGCAGCCAACGCCGCUUGGGGCCAUGAGCAACGCAUAUAUGACAUGUUUCUCUCCGCCGAGGUAGACUCCUUUUUCACUACAAACCACCUCACCUACCCUGAGACGAAGCUCUCGCCCAUACCUUGUGGUGACCCUACUGGAGUUGGGUUGCACGCACGAGCGCCAAGACCAGUACAUGUGACACUGCAUAGGGAUCUACCCAAGCACGCACGCAUAAGAGCCCCAGAGUGCCCAUCCCGGCGGCAACCACGAUGGGCACAACUUUUGCCUUGUUGGCCUCGAUUCAUCAUUGCAACACUUCCCUAACACCAUCGUUAUCUACAGUCGCGCCUCCACCUCGAACCGGAACCGCCUUCAUCGCUCGUUGUCGCCCUACUCAUGCAACUACAUUGGGCACGCCAUUGCGCAUACUCGUCAUCCCAGUUGACCGCGAAGAGAUCGUACUCCAUGGUUGUUGUGGGUUGGGCUUCACGAGGUCGGGGAAGACGAGGCAACUCUCUUGCAGUUACAUAGAAGCGUGCUUGAUGGAGGUUGAUACGUCUCAAACGUAUCUAUAAUUUUUGAAGUAUUCAUGCUAUAUUUACAUCACUUAUUUAUGAUUUUGGCACAAUAUUCAUUUGGACUAACAUAUUAAUCCAGUGCCAAAGGUUUGUUCCUGUUUUCUACUCCCUCCAUUCCAAAAUAUAGUGCGUCCAUGCUUUCCGAGGUCCAACUUUGACCAUAAAUUUAACCAACGAGACCAACUGUGGCGGGAGAAAAAAAUUAUAUAAUUGAAAACUUCUUUUGAAUACAAAUUCACCGGUAUAACUUUUGCUCCCACCGCAGUCGGUCUCGUUGGUUAAAUUUAUGGUUAAAGUUGAAGCACACGAAUAGAGGAAGCACAAUAUUUUGGAACGGAAGGAGUACUAUUUUGGGUUUCUAGGUGAAAAAAUCACGGAGCAAGAAUGAGUUGAUAUUUUUCAUGAAUUUGUUAUGGAAUAAAAGGCCACGGGGCCGGAGAGAUGGAGGCCGAGGGAGCCAGGAGGGCUCCACACGGAUUGUUCAUGCUGCCACCCCCUAGGUCACGUCGAGGCCCGCGUGGGUGCUCCUUAAGUCGGUUGGGGCUCUUCUUUAGUUGGAAGACAGGUCCUAAAAUAUCAACAAAAAACUUAAAUUUCAGCCCGAUCGAAGUUACAGAUCUCCGACUAUAAAAGAACGGUGCUCGACCUCAGAAAAGUACCGAAAACAUGAGACAAAAAGAGAGAGAUCCAAUCUAGGGAGAGCUUCCUAUCUCCCCGGAGGGCCAUGGAAGAUGAAGAAGAAGGGGGCUUCCCCCUCUCAUUCGGUGGCGCCUGGACACCGCAGGGGGCAUCUCCACCAUCACCAUCACCAACAACUCUCUCUCUCUGUUCUCAUGGUGAUGUGUGAGUAGUCCCCCGUUCGGGAUGAGGGUACUCCCCCCCCUCCAGGAUAAGGGUACUCCCUCUGUUCGGUGAAGAGUGUACAUUUGGCUUUAAAUUUUGUCCAUAAAGAGUGUGCUCCUAUCUUCCCAAUGUACUUUAAAGUAGAAAACAAGGUUUCUCUCUCAUCACUCGGUAAUCAAGACCAAUAACAUUGUACACAUGGUCUGCUUAAUUUCUACAUGCACUUAGCUCAUUGGGGGUUGGGUAGUUAAAAAGGAGAGAAAUAGUGAAUUGUAACUUUUCAAUGCAUUUUUUACUUCACUCCAUAAUUUGUCCUAAAAAAUUUAUAUGUACAUUUUCACCAAACGGAGGGAGUAUGUACUGCUAGGUAUGUGUUUGAUACCUCUCUCUCCCAUGUUUUCGAAAGUUUCUGAUCUUGAUUGUAUCAUGAGCUUUAUGAAUAUGGAUCAUAUGUGUUGGGGAACGUUGCAUGCAAAACAAAACAAAAAUUCUACUCACACGCAACAUCUAUCCAUGGAGAUGCAUAGCUACGAGAGGGGGAAAGCAUCUUCAUACCCUUGAAGAUCGCUAAGCGGAAUCGUUUAUCAACGCGGUUGAUGUAGUCGUACACCUUCACGAUCCGCCCCGAUCAAGUACCGAAAGUACGACACCUCCGCGUUCAGCACACGUUCAGCUUGAUGACGUCCUCGUCUUCUCGAUCCAGCAAGAGAGGCGAAGUAGUAGAUGAGUUCCGGCAGCACGGCGGCGUGGUGACGGUGGUGGUGAAGAACAAUCUACGCAGGGCUUCGCCAAGCACAACAGAAACUAUGACGUCGGAUAAAUUAGAAGGGGCAGGGGUGCCGGCACACGACUUGCUGAAUCUUGAUCUGUAUUAGGUGCUAGCCCCGCCCUUCUAUUUAUAUGUUGAGCCAUGGGGUCGUUUAUUGGAGAAAGAGCCUCCUCAAAGUCGGUUUAGCCCGCAAGGCAAGAGUCCAUCUCGGACUCCAGGACCAGAUGCCAGGGUCCUUGGCAUCUGGCCCCAGGCGCCAGGGUGGCUGACGUCUGGCCCCUUGGCCUCCGCAAAACUCCAUUUGCACCUUCCUAAAGCCUCAUGGGCGUUACCCCUUGGCCCAAAUAAAGUGUUCUCGUACACGACCAUUUCGGGAAGCAUACGAAACCCUUCCGGUGAAUUCUGGAACCCUUCCGGAGACCAAACACUAUUAUCCCAUAUAUCAAUAUUUACCUCCGGACUAUUCCGGAGUUCCUCGUCAUGUCCGUGAUCUCAUCCAGUACUCCGAACAUUCGGUCACCAACAUACAUAACUCAUAUAAUAUUAUAUCGUCAACGAACAUUAAGCGUGCGGACCCUACGGGUUCGAGAAUGAUGUAGACAUGACCGAGACGCUUCUCCGGUCAAUAACCAAUAGCGGGACCUGGAUGCCCAUAUUGGUUCCUACAUAUUCUAUGAAGAUCUUUAUCGGUCGAACCUUUAUGACAACAUACGUAGUUCCCUUUGUUCGUCGGUAUGUUACUUGCCCAAGAUUCGAUGUCGGUAUCUUCAUACCUAGUUCAAUCUCAUUAUCGGUAAGUCUCUUUACUCGUUCAUCUUGUAACUAACUCCUUGGUCACUUUGCUUGCAAGUUUCUUGUGAUGUUGUAUUGCCGAGAGGGCCCAGAGAUACCUCUCCAUCAUACAGAGUGACAAAUCCCAGUCUCGAUUCAUGCCAACUCAACAGACACCUUCGGAGAUACCUGUAGAACAUCUUUAUGAUCACCCAAUUACAUUGUGAUGUUUGAUAGCACACAAGGUAUUCCUCCGGUAUCUGGGAGUUGCAUGAUCUCAUGGUCGAAGGAAUAUGUAUUUGACAUUAAGAAAGUAGUGGCAAUAAACUGAACGAUCAUAUGCUAAGCUAACGGAUGAGUCUUUUCCAUCACAUCAUUCUCCUAAUGAUGUGAUCCCGUUAUCAAGCGACAACACAUGUCUAUGGUUAGGAAACCAUAACCAUUUUUUGAUCAAUGAGCUAGUCUAGUAGAGGCAUACUAGGGACUUGGUAUUUGCUUAUGUAUUCACACAUGUAUUUAAGUUUCCAAUCAAUACAAUUCUAGCAUGAAUAAUAAACCUUUAUUAUGAUUAAGGAAAUAUAAUAAUAAUAACUUUAUUAUUACCUCUAGGGCAUAUUUCCAACAGUCUCCCACUUGCACUAGAGUCAAUAAUCUAGAUUACAUAGUAAUGAAUCUAACACCCAUGGAGUCUUGGUGUUGGUCAUGUUUUGCCCGCGGAAGAGGUUUAGUCAACGGGUCUGCCACAUUCAGAUCCAUAUGUACUUUGCAAAUUUGUAUGUCCCCAUCCUUGACCUUUUCACAUAUGGAGUUGAAGCGUAUCUUGAUGUGUUUGGUUCUCUUGUGAAACCUUGAUUCCUUCGCUAAGGCAAUUGCUCCAGUGUUGUCACAAAAGAUUGUCAUUGUACCUAAUGCACUAGGUAUUACACCCAGAUCGGAUAUGAACUCCUUCAUCCAGACUCCUUCAUGUGCUGCCUCUGAAGCAGCUAUGCACUCCGCUUCACACAUAGAUCCCGCCACGACACUCUGCUUGGAACUGCAUCAACUGAUAGCUCCAUCAUUCAAUAUAAAUGCAUAUCCGGUUUAUGACUUAGAGUCAUCCGGAUCUGUGUCGAAGCUAGCAUUGACGUAACCUUUUGCGAUGAGCUCUUUGUCACCUUCAUAAACGAGAAACGUAUCCUUGGUCCUUUUCAGGUACUUCGGAAUGUUCUUGACUACUGUCCAGUGAUCCACUCCUGGAUUACUUUGGUACCUCCCUGCCAAACUUAUGGCAAGGCACACAUUAGAUCUAGUACACGGCAUGACAUACAUAAUAGAACCUAUGGCUGCGGCAUAGGGAAUGACUUUCAUUUUCUCUCUAUCUUCUGUCAUGGUCGGACUUUGAGUCUGACUCAAUUUCACACCUUGCAACACAGGAAAGAACCCUUUCUUUGACUGGUCCAUUUUGAACUUCUUCAGAACUUUGUCAAGGUAUGUGCUUUGUGAAAGUCCUAUUAAGCGUCUCGAUCUAUCCCUAUAGAUCUUGAUGCCCAAUAUAUAAGCAGCUUCACUGAGGUCUUUCAUUGAAAAACUCUUAUUCAAGUAUCCUUUUAUGAUAUCAAGAAAUUUUAUAUCAUUUCCAAUCAGCAAUAUGUCAUCCACAUAUAAUAUCAGAAAUUAAUGCUACAGAGCUCCCACUCACUUUCUUGUAAAUAUAGGCUUCACCGUAAGUCUGUAUAAAACCAUAUGCUUUGAUCACCUCAUCAAAGCGUAUAUUCCAACUCUGAGAUGCUUGCACCAGUCCAUAGAUGGAUCGCUGGAGCUUGCCCACUUUGUUAGCACCUUUAGGAUCGACAAAACCUUCUGGUUGCAUCAUAUACAACUCUUCUUUAAUAAACUCGUUAAGGAAUGUAGUUUUAAUAUCCAUUUGCCAGAUUUCAUAAUCAUAAAAUGAGGCAAUUGCUAACAUGAUUCGGAUAGACUUAAGCAUCGCUAUGGGUGAGAAAGUCUCAUCGUAGUCAACCCUUUGAACUUGUCCAAAACCUUUUGCGACAAGUCAAGCUUAGUAAAUAGUGAUAUUACCAUCAGCGUCCGUCUUCUUCUUGAAGAUCCAUUUAUUCUCAAUGGCUUGCCGAUCAUCGAGCAAGUCCACCAAAGUCCACACUUUGUUCUCAUACAUGGAUCCUAUCUCAGAUUUCAUGGCCUCGAGCCAUUUAUCGGAAUCUAGGUUCAUCAUAGCUUCUUCAUAGUUCGUAGGUUCUGUUGGGGAACGUAGCAUGCAAUUUCAAAAAAAAUCCUAUGAUCACGCAAGAUCUAUCUAGGAGAUGCAUAGAAACGAGAGGGGGAGAGUGUGUCCACAUACCCUCGUAGACCGAAAGCGGAAGCGUUAGUUCAACGCGGUUGAUGUAGUCGAUCGUCUUCUCGAUUCAACCGAUCAAGUACCGAACGUACGACACCUCCGAGUUCUGCACACGUUCAGCUCGAUGACGUCCCCCGAACUCUUGAUCCAGCAAAGUGUCGAGGGAGAGUUUCAUCAGCACGAUGGUGUAGUGACGGUGAUGGUGAAGUGAUCCGCACAGGGCUUUGCCUAAGCACUACGACAAUAGGACCAGAGGCGUAAACUGUGGAGGGGAGCGCCGCACACGGCUAACAAUGUUUGCUGUGUGUUCUAGCGGUGCCCCCUCAUAUAUAUAGGUUGGAGGGGAGGAGAGGCAGCCAAGGGGGCGCCCCAAGUAGGAGGAAUCCUACUUGGGCACCUCCCAAUUCGGCCUCCCCCCUUUCCUAUUCCUAUUCGGAGUAGGAAGGGAAGAGGGGGAAGGGGGAAUCCUAUUCCCUUUUUCCUUUCCUCCUUCCCCUUUCCUUCUCCAAUUUGGCCAGCCCAUAUGGGAGGAGCGCACCAGCCCCUUUGUGGCUGUUGUGUUUUCCCUCUCCCAUAAGACCCAUAUAGUUUGCCGAGGGUAGCCCGGAACCCCUUCCGGUGACCCGAUACGUACCCGGUACCCCCGUAACACUUCCGGUGUCCAAAUACUAUCGUCCUAUAUAUGAAUCUUUACCUCUCGAUCAUUUCGAGACUCCUCAUCAUGUCGGUGAUCUCAUCUGGGACUCUGGACAACAUUCCAUCACCAAAUCACAUAACUCAUAUAAUACAAAAUCGUCAUUGAACGUUAAGCGUGCGGACCCUACGGGUUCGAGAACUAUGUAGACAUGACCGAGACACCUCUCCGGUCAAUAACCAAUAGCGGAAACUAGAUGCUCAUAUUGGUUCCCACGUAUUCUAUGAAGAUCUUUAUCGAUCGUAUCAUAAUGACAACAUACGUUAUCCCCUUUGUCAUCGGUAUGUUACUUGCCCGAGAUUCGAUCGUCAGUAUGUUCAUACCUAGUUCAAUCUCGUUAUCGGCAAGUCUCUUUACUCGUUUCGUAAUGCAUCAUCCCGCAACUAACUCAUUAGUCACAUUGCUUGCAAGGCUUAUCAUGAUGUGCAUUACCGAGAGGGCCCAGAGAUACCUCUCCGAUACUCGGAGUGACAAAUCCUAAUCUCGAUCUAUGACAACCCAACAAAUGCCUUCGGAUAUACCUGUAGAUCAUCUUUAUGAUCACCCAGUAUGUUGUGACGUUUGAUAGCUGACGAUGUCCUGGACUAGGGGGGUAUUCCUCCGGUAUUCGGGAGUUGCAUAAUCUCAUAGUCAAAGGAAUAUGUAUAAGUCAUGAAGAAACCAAUAACAAUAAAACUUAACGAUCAUUAUGCUAAGCUAACGGAUGGGUCUUGUCCAUCACAUCAUUCUCCUAAUGAUGUGACCCCGUUCAUAAAAUGAUAACACAUGUCUAUGGUUAGGAAACUUAACCAUCUUUGAUUAACAAGCUAGUCUAGUAGAGGCUUACUAGGGACACAGUGUUUUGUCAAUGUAUCCACACAUGUAUCAAGUUUCCGGUUAAUACAAUUAUAGCAUGAAUAAUAAACAUUUAUCAUGAUAUAAGGAAAUAAAAAAUAAAAAAUUUAUUAUUGCCUCUAGGGCAUAUUUCCUUCAGUCUCCCACUUGCACUAGAGUCAAUAAUCUAGUUCACAUCGCCAUGUGAUUUAACACUAAUAGUUCACAUCUUUAUGUGAUUAACACCCAUAGUUCACAUCGCCAUGUGACCAACACCCAAAGGGUUUACUAGAGUCAAUAAUCUAGUUCACAUCGCUAUGUGAUUAACACCCAAAGAGUACUGAGGUGUGAUCAUGUUUUGCUUGUGAGAGAAGUUUAGUCAAUGGAUCUGCCACAUUCAGAUCCGUAUGUAUUUUGUAAAUUUUCUAUGUCUACAAUGCUCUGCACGGAGCUACUCUAGCUAAUUGCUCCCACUUUUAAUAUGUAUCCAAAUUGAGACUCAUAGUCAUCUGGAUCGGUGUAAAAGCUUGCAUCGACGUAACUCUUUACGAUGAACUCUUUAUCACCUCCAUAACCGAGAAAUAUUUCCUUGGUCCUCUAAGGAUAAUUUUGACCGCUGUCUAGUGAUCUACUCCUGGAUCACUAUUGGUACCUCCCUGCCAGACUUAUGGCAAGGCACACAAUAGGUUUGGUACACAGCAUGGCAUACUUUAUAGAACCUAUAAUUGAAGCAUAUGGAAUGACUUUCGUUCUCUCUAUAUAUUCUGCUGUGGUUGGGUUUUGAGUCUUACUCAACUUCACACCUUGUAACACAUGUAAGAACCCUUUCUUUGACUAAUCCAUUUUGAACUCCUUCAAAAUCUUGUGGAGGUAUGUGCUUUGUGAAAGUCCUAUCAAGUGUCUUGAUCUAUCUCUAUAGAUCUUGAUGCUCAAUAUAUAAGUAGCUUCACCGAGGUCUUUUAUUGAAAAAAUCUUAUUCAAGUAUUCUUUUAUGCUAUCCAGAAAUUCUAUAUCAUGCCUGAUCAACAAUAUGUCAUCCACAUAUAAUAUCAGAGCUCCCACUCACUUUCUUGUAAAUACGGGCUUCACCAUAAGUCUGUAUAAAACCAUAUGUUUUAAUCACCUUAUCAACGCGUAUAUUCCAACUCCGAGAUGCUUGCACCAGUUCCAUAGAUGGAUCGUUGGAGCUUGCACACUGUGUUAGCACCUUUAGGAUCGACAAAACCUUUGGUUGCAUCAUAUACAACUCUUCUUUAAGAAAUCCAUUAAGCAAUGCAGUUUUGACAUCCAUUUUCCAGAUUUCACAAAAUGUGGCAAUUGCUAACAUGAUUCAGACAGACUUAAGCAUUGCUACGAGUGAGAAAAUCUCAUCGUAGUCAACACCUUGAACUUGUUUGAAAACAUUUUGUGACAAUUCAUGCUUUGUAGAUAGUAACACUACCAUCAUCGUCCGUCUUCCUUGUGAAGAUCCAUUUAUUCUCAAUGUCUUGCUGAUCAUUGGGCAAGUCCACGGAAGUCCAUACUUUGUUCUCAUACAUGGAUCCUAUCUCAGAUUUCACGGCCUCAAGCCAUUUUGCGGAAUCUGGGCUCAUCAUCGCUUCCUCAUAGUUCGUAGGUUCGUCAUGGUCUAGUAACAUGACUUCGAGAACAGGGUUACCGUACCACUCUAGUGCGGAACAUGCUCUGGUUGACCUACGAGGUUCAGUAGUAACUUGAUCUGAAGUUUCAUGAUCAUUAUCAUUAGCUUCCUCUCUUGUUGGUGCAAACAUCAUGGAAACGGUUUUCUAUGAUGAGCAGCUUUCCAAUUCGAGAGAAGGUACAAUUACCUCAUCAAGUUCUACUUUCCUCCCACUCACUUCUUUUGAGAGAAACUCCUUCUCUAGAAAGGAUCCAUUCUUAUCAACUAAGAUCUUGCCUUCGGAUCUGUGAUAGAAGGUAUACCGAACUGUUUUUUUGGGUAUCCUAUGAAGACACACUUCUCCAAUUUGGGUUCGAGCUUAUCAAGCUGAAACUUUUUCACAUAAGUAUCGCGACCCCAAACUUUAAGAAACGACAACUUAGGUUUCUUGCCAAAGCAUAGUUCAUACGGUGUCAUCUCAAUGGAUUUAGAUGGUGCCUUAUUUAACGUGAAUGCAGCUGUCUCUAAUGCAUAACCCCAAAACGAUAGUGGUAAAUCGGUAAGAGACAUCAUAGAUCAUACCAUAUCUAAUAAAGUGUGGUUACGACGUUCAGACACACCAUUACGCUGUGGUGUUCCAGGUGGCGUGAGUUGUGAAACUAUUCCACAUUAUUUUAAAUGAAGGCCAAACUCAUAACUCAAAUAUUCGCCUCCGCGAUCAGAUUGUAGAAACUUUAUUUUCUUGUUACGAUGAUUCUCCACUUCACUCUGAAAUUCUUUGAACUUUUCAAAUUUUCAGACUUGUGUUUCAUUAAGUAGAUAUACCCAUAUCUGCUCAAAUCAUCAGUGAAGAUUAGAAAAUAAUGAUACCUGCCGCGAGCUUCAACACUCAUUGGACUGCAUACAUCGGUAUGUAUUAUUUCCAAUAAGUCAUUAGCUCGCUCCAUUGUUCCGGAGAACAGAGUUUUAGUCAUCUUGCCCAUGAGGCAUCGUUCGCAAGCAUCAAAUGAUUCAUAAUCAAGUGAUUCCAAAAGCCCAUAUGCAUGGAGUUUCUUCAUGCGUUUUACACCAAUGUGACCUAAACGGCAGUGCCACGAAUAUGUUGCACUAUCAUUAUCAACUUUGCAUCUUUUGGCAUCAAUAUUAUGAAUAUGUGUAUUACUACGAUCGAGAUUCAAUAAACCGUUCACAUUGGGUGUAUGACCAUAGAAGGUUUUAUUCAUAUAAACAGAACAACAAUUAUUUUGUGACUUAAAUGAAUAACCGUAUUGCAAUAAACAUGAUCUAAUCAUAUUAAUGCUCAAUGCAAACACCAAAUAACAUUUAUUUAGGUUUAAUUCUAAUCCCAAAGGUAGAGGGAGUGUGUGAUGGUGAUCGUAUCAACCUUGGAAUUACUUCGAACACACAUCGUCACCUCGUCCUUAACUAGUCUCUGUUUAUUUUGCAACUCCUGUUUCGAGUUACUACUCUUAGCAACUGAACCAGUAUCAAAUACCGAGGGGUUGCUAUAAACACUAGUAAAGUACACAUCAAUAACAUGUCUAUCAAAUAUGUUGGGGAACACAAUAUUUCAAAAAUUUACCUACGAUCACGCAAGAUCUAUCUAGGAGAUGCAUAGCAACGAGAGGGCAGAGUGUGUCUACGUACCCUCAUAGCCUGAAAGCGGAAGCGUUUAGUAACGCGGUUGAUGUAGUCGAACGUCUUCGCGAUCCAUGAUGUCUACUACACAAUCUUAUUCUUGUAGACGUUGUUGGACCUCCAAGUGCAUAGGUUUGUAGGACAGUAGCAAAUUUCCCUCAAGUGGAUGACCUAAGGUUUAUCAAUCUGUGGGAGGCGUAGGAUGAAGAUAGUCUCUCUCAAACAACCCUGCAACCAACUAACAAAGAGUCUCUUUGUGUCCCCGACACACCCAAUACAAUGGUAAAUUGUAUAGGUGCACUAGUUCGCGAAGAGAUGGUGAUACAAGUGCAAUAUGGAUGGUAGAUAUAGGUUUUUGUAAUCUGAAAAUAUAAGAACAGCAAGGUAACUAAUGAUAAAAAUGAGCAAAAACGGUAUUGCAAUGCGUUGAAACAAGGCCUAGGGUUCAUACUUUCACUAGUGCAAGUUCUCUCAACAAUAAUAACAUAAUUGGAUCAUAUAACUAUCCCUCAAUAUGCAACAAGGAGUCACUCGAAAGUCACUAAUAGCGGAGAACAGACGAAGAGAUUAUUGUAGGGUACGAAGCCACCUCAAAGUUAUCCUUUCUGAUCGAUCUAUUCAAGAGUCCGUAGUAAAAUAACACAAAGCUAUUCUUUCCGUUCGAUCUAUCCUAGAGUUCGUACUAGUAUAACACCUUAAGACACAAAUCAACCAAAACCCUAAUGUCACCUAGAUAUUCCAAUGUCACCUCAAGUAUCCGUGGGUAUGAUUAUACGAUAUGCAUCACACAAUCUCAGAUUCAUCUAUUCAAACAACACAAAGAACUUCAAAGAGUGCCCCAAAGUUUCUACCAGAGAGUCAAGAUGAAAACAUGUGCCAACCCCUAUGCAUAAGUUCACAAGGUCACGGAACUCACAAGUUGAUCACCAAAACAUAUAUCAAGUGGAUCACGUGAAUAUCCCAUUCUCACCACAGAUAAGCACAUGCAAGACAUACAUCAAGUGUUCUCAAAUCCUUAAAGACUCAAUCUGAUAAGAUAACUUCAAAGGGAAAACUCAACCCAUUAAAAGAGAGUAGAGGGGGAGAAACAUCAUAAGAUCCAACUAUAAUAGCAAAGCUCACGAUACAACAACAUCGUGCCGAAUCAAGAACAUGAGAGAGAGAGGGAGAGAUCAAACACAUAGCUACUGGUACAUACCCUCAGCCCCGAGGGUGAACUACUCCCUCCUCGUCAUGGAGUGCCGGGAUGAUGAAGAUGGCCACCGGAGAGGGAUUCCCCCCCUCCGGCAGGGUGCCAGAACGGGUCUAGAUUGGUUUUCGGUGGCUACAGAGGCUUGCGUUAGCGGAACUCCUGAUCUAGGUUUCUUUUUGGAAGUUUGGGGUUAUAUAAGAGGCGUUGGAGUCGGGAACAAGUCAGGGGGGUCCACGAGGUGGCCAUGAGGUAGGGGGAGUGCCCAGGGGGGUAGGGCGCCCCCCCACCCUCGUGGGUGCCUCGGGACUCCUCUGGCCCAUCUCCAAUACUCUGUGGGCUUCUUCUGGUCCAAAAACAAUCUCCGCAAAUUUUCAGGUCAAUUGGGCUCCAUUUGAUAUUCCUUUUUUGCGAAACUCAAAAGCAAGGAAAAAACAGAAGUGGCACUGGGCUCUAGGUUAGUCCCAAAAAUCAUAUAAAAUAGAAUAUAAAUGCAUAUAAAACAUCCUAGAUGGAUAAUAUAAUAGCAUGGAACAAUAAAAAAUUAUAGAUGCGUUGGAGACGUAUCAAGCAUCCCCAAGCUUAAUUCCUGCUUGUCCUCGAGUAGGUAAAUGAUAAAAACAGAAUUUUUGAUGUGGAAUGCUACAAAAUCAUAUAGUCUGCUCGUCAUCAAUGUAAUCUUCUCUAUUGUGGCAAGAAUAUUCAGACCCAAUAAGAUUCAAGACAAAAGUUUAAUAUUGACAUGAUAAUAAUAAUAAUAAUAAUAAUAAUAAUACUUCAAGCAUACUAACCAAGCAAUCAUGUCAUCAUACAAAAUAUUUAAAUCAUGCACAACCCCGAUGACAAGCCAAGCAAUUGUUUCAUACUUUUGAUGCUCUCAAACUUUUUCAAUCUUCACGCAAUACAUGAGCUUGAGCCAUGGACAUAGCACUAUGGGUGGAAUAGAAUGGUGGUUGCGGAGAAGACAAAAAGGAGAAGAUAGUCUCACAUCAACUAGGCAUAUCCACGGGCUAUGGAGAUGCCCAUCAAUAGAUAUCAAUGUGAGUGAGUAGGGAUUGCCAUGCAACGGAUGCACUAGAGCUAUAAGUGUAUGAAAGCUCAACAAAAGAAACUAAGUGGGUGUGCAUCCAACUUGCUUGCUCACGAAGACCUAGGGCAUUUUGAGGAAUCCCAUCAUUGGAAUAUACAAGCCAAGUUCUAUAAUGAAAGAUUCUCACUAGUAUAUGAAAGUGACAACAUAGGAGACUCUCUAUCAUGAAGAUCAUGGUGCUACUUUGAAGCACAAGUGUGGUAAAAGGAUAGUAGCAUUGUCCCUUCUCUCUUUUUCUCUCAUUUUUUAUUUUUAUUUUUAUUUUUUAUUUGGGCCUUUUCUCUUUUUUAUGGACUCUUUUGUUUCAUCCGGAGUCUCAUCCCGACUUGUGGGGGAAUCAUAGUCUCCAUUAUCCUUUCCUCGCAUGGGACAAUGCUCUAAUAAUGAUGAUCAUCACACUUUUAUUUACUUACAACUCAAGAAUUACAACUCGAUACUUAGAACAAAAUAUGACUCUAGGUGAAUGCCUCCGGCGGUGUACCAGGAUGUGCAAUGAAUCAAGAGUGACAUGUAUGAAAAAUUAUGAAUGGUGGCUUUGCCACAAAUACGAUGUCAACUACAUGAUCAUGCCAAGCAAUAUGACAAUGAUGGAGCGUGUCAUAAUAAAUGGAACGGUGGAAAGUUGCAUGGCAAUAUACCUCGGAAUGGCAAUGGAAAUGCCAUAAUAGAUAGGUAUGGUGGCUGUUUUGAGGAAGGUAAAUGGUGGGUUUAUGGCACCGACGAAAGUUGCGCGCUGCUAGAGAGGCUAGCAAUGGUGGAAGGGUGAGAGACUGAGAGUGCGUAUAAUCCGUGGACUCAACAUUAGUCAUAAAGAACUCACAUACUUAUUGCAAAAAUCUAUUAGUUAUCGAAACAAAGUACUAUGUGCAUGCUCCUAGGGGGAUAGAUUGGUAGGAAAAGACCAUCGCUCGUCCCCGACCGCCACUCAUAGGGAAGGCAAUCAAAAAAAUAAAUCAUGCUCCGACUUCAUCACAUAACGGAUCACCAUACGUGCAUGCUACGGGAAUCACAAACUUUAACACAAGUAUCUCUCAAAUUCACAACUACUCAACUAGCAUGACUCUAAUAUCACCAUCUUUAUAUCUCAAAACAAUUAUCAAGUACCAAACUUCUCAUAGUAUUCAAUGCACUAUAUAUGAAAGUUUUUAUUAUAGCCAUCUUGGAUGCCCAUCAUAUAAGGACUAGUUUCAUAACCAAAGCAAAUUACCAUGCUGUUUAAGACUCUCAAAAUAAUAUAAGUGAAGCAUGAGAGUUCAUCUAUUUCUUCAAAAUAAAACCACAACCAUGCUCUAAAAAGAUAUAAGUGAAGCACUAGAGCAAAUGACAAACUACUCCAAAAGAUAUAAGUGAAGAUCAAUGAGUAGUUGAAUAAUUAUGUAACUAUAUGAAGACUCUCUAACAUUUAAGAAUUUAAGAUCUUGGUAUUUUAUUCAAACAGCAGACAAAAUAAAAAAAAAUGAUGCUCCAAGCAAAACACAUAUCAUGUGGUGAAUAAAAAUAUAGCUCCAAGUAAAGUUACCGAUGAACGAAGACGAAAGAGGGGAUGCCAUCCGGGGCAUCCCCAAGCUUAGGCUGUUGGUUGUCCUUGAAUAUUACCUUGGGGUUCCUUGGGCAUCCCCAAGCUUAGACUCUUGCCACUACUUAUUCCAUAGUCCAUCGAAUCUUUACCCAAAACUUGAAAACUUCACAACACAAAACUCAAUAGAAGACUCGUAAGCUCCGUUAGUAUAAGAAAAUAAAUCACCACUUAGGUGCUGUUGUGAACUCAUUAUAAAUUCAUAUUGGUGUAAUAUCUACUGUAUUCCAGCUUCUCUAUGGUUCAUACCCUCCGAUACUACUCAUAGAUUCAUCAAAAUAAGCAAACAACACAAUGAAAACAUAAUCUAUGAAAAACAGAACAGUCUGUAGUAAUCUGGAUAUUUCGAAUACUUAUGUAACUCCAAAAAUUCUGAAAAAUUAGGAAGACCAGGACAAUUUGUAUAAUGAUCUACUGCAGUUGGAAUUGGUAUUUUAUCGCUCUUUGGUAAAAAAUUAAAAUUAUUUUCGUGAGAGCAUACUUUCUGUUUCUGUCAGCAAGAUCAAACAACAAUCACCCAAGAAGAUCCUAAAGCCUCUACUUGGCACAAACACUAAUUAAAACAUAAAACGACAUCUAACCAGAGGCUAGAUAGAUUAUUUAUUACUAAACAGGAGCAAAAGGCAAAGAACAAAAAUAAAAUUGGGUUGCCUCCCAACAAGCGCUAUCGUUUAACGCCCCUAGCUAGGCAUGGUGAUUUCAAUGAUGCUCACAUUAAAGAUAAGAAUUGAAACAUAAAGAGAGUAUCAUGAAGAAUAUGACUAGCACAUUUAAGUCUAACCCACUUCCUAUGCAUAGGGAUUUUGUGAGCAAACAAUUUAUGGGAACAAUAAUCAACUAGCAUAGGAAAGCAAAAUAAGCAUAACUUCAAGAUUUUAAGCACAUAGAGAGGAAACUUGAUAUUAUUGCAAUUCCUACAAGCAUAUAUUCCUCACUCAUAAAAAAUUUCAGUAGCAUAAUGAAUGAAUUCAACAAUAUAACCAUCACAUAAAGCAUUAUUUUCAUGAUCCCCAAGCAUAGAGAAUUUACUACUCUCAACAUAAGCAAAAUUCUUCUCAUUCAGAAUAGUGGGAGUAUCAUAAGAAAAUCAAAUACUAUAAAUUGUUUCCAUAUUAAAAGAGUAAUGUUCAGAAAAAGGCUAAUCAUAAUCAUGACAAGUUUUGUAAAUAUAAUCAUCACUACUUUUUAUAACAUAAGUAUCAUCACAAUAAUCAUCAUAAGUAGCGACUUUGUUCUCAUCAUAAUCAAUUGAAACCUCUUCCAAGAUAGUGGAAUCAUUACUAAAUAAAGUCAUGACCUCUCCAAAUCCACUUUCAUAAUUAUCACAAUAAGAUUCAACGCCCUCCAAAAUAAUCUGAUCAUUACUUCCUAAAGUUGACACUCUUCCAAACCCACUUUCAUUAAUAUAAUCAUCAUAAAUAGGAGGCAUGCUAUCAUCAUAAAAAAAAUUCUCAUCAAAACUUGGGAGGCUAAAAAUAUCAUCUUCAUUAAACAUAGCAUCCCCAAGCUUGGGACAAACAUUAAUUGCAGCAAAUAAAUUCUCAAACAUGUCAUUGUCAUCAAACAUAGCAUCCCCAAGCUUGGGCCUUUUCAUAUCAUAAGCAUAAUCACUCUCAUCAUUAAUAGUAUGGAUAACACCAAUAGUAUAGCAAUUAUCAUCAUCACAAUGAGUAAUAGGAGCAACAUCAUUUGGGAGGGAUACCUUUUUAUCUUUGCUUCUCCGUCUUUUCUUUUUCUUCUUCACAUUAUGUGUGGGUUUCAUCCUCUUUUUGGAGCUCCUUAUUAAUGAGAUUGGUCGAAUAGAAGGCUCCUCCUCGUUACCUGAUUCAUCAUAAGAAAUAAUAGGAGGAUAUUGGGAAGUCUAUUCCCUUUCAUUAGUAUUUUCUUCAUCUUCUAUUUGUUUUCUUGUCUUUAUGUAAUUGGCAAUAUAAGGAUUUUCAAAGCAAUUUACCGCACAAUACACAUAAAUUUCCUCUAGAUCAAAAUCAAGAACUUUAUCAAGGACAAAUUCUGGAAGAUCCUUAGUUAUACGUUUCAUUUAUUCAUAACCCACAAGCAAACUAAGUUCAUUAUGAUGUGCAAGGGAAAUCAAGUCAUCAUAAUUUUUGGACACGAUUCGAUCAUGAAACAAUUUGCAUUGGAGAUUUAAAUGAUCACGUUCAUUGCAAAGUUCACAAGGAUGGGAAAGAAAUUUUAAAUUUUCAGCACAAGCAUUUAGCCUCUCUUGCAACCAUUUAGUUUCUAAAUACUUAUGCCUCUUGCAAAAUCUAUCUUCCCUAUUUGGUGUGUUCUUGCAAGCUCUAUGCACUCCACAAAAAAUUGAAAUGCUUAUAAGAGACAUUUUCAUCAUGACUAGUGCAAUCAUCAUUCGUACUAUGGAUAUUCAAAGAGUUCCUACCAACAACAUUGCAAUCAUGCUCAUCAUUCAAAUAUUUAGUACCAAACAUUUUAAUGCAUUCUUCUUCUAACACUUGAGCACAAUUUUCCUUUCCAUCAUUUUCACGAAAUGUAUUAAAAAGAUGCAGCAUAUGAGGCACCCUCAAUUCCAUUUUUUUGUAGUUUUCUUUUAUAAACUAAACUAGUGAUAACAUAAGAAACUAAAAGAUUCCAUUGCAAGAUGUAAAUAUAUACCUUCAAGCGCUAAGCACCCCGGCAACGGCGCCAGAAAAGAGCUUGAUGUCUACUACACAACCUUCUUGUAUACGUUGUUGGGCCUCCAAGUGCAGAGGUUUGUAUAGCAAAUUUCCCUAAAGUGGAUGACCUAAGGUUUAUCAAUCCGUGGGAGGCGUAGGAUGAAGAUGGUCUCUCUCAAACAACCCUGCAACCAAAUAACAAAGAGUCUCUUGUGUCCCCAACACACCCAAUACAAUGGUAAAUUGUAUAGGUGCACUAGUUCGCGAAGAGAUGGUGAUACAAGUGCAAUAUGGAUGGUAGAUAUAGGUUUUUGUAAUCUGAAAAUAUAAGAACAGCAAGGUAACUAAUGAUAAAAAUGAGCAAAAAUGGUAUUGCAAUGCGUUGAAACAAGGCCUAGGGUUCAUACUUUCACUAGUGCAAGUUCUCUCAAUAAUAAUAACAUAAUUGGAUCAUAUAACCAUCCCUCAACAUGCAACAAAGAGUCACUCCAAAGUCACUAGUAGCGGAGAACAAACGAAGAGAUUAUUGUAGGGUACGAAACCACCUCAAAGUUAUCCUUUCUGAUCGAUCUAUUCAAGAGUCCGUAGUAAAAUAACACAAAGCUAUUAUUUCUGUUCGAUCUAUCCUAGAGUUCGUACUAGAAUAACACCUUAAGACACAAAUCAACCAAAACCCUAAUGUCACCUAGAUAUUCCAAUGUCACCUCAAGUAUGGGUAUGAUUAUACCAUAUGCAUCACACAAUCUCAAAUCCAUCUAUUCAACCAACACAAAGUACUUCAAAGAGUGCCCCAAAGUUUCUACCAGAGAGUCAAUACGAAAAUGUGUGCCAACCCCUAUGCAUAAGUUCACAAGGUCACGGAACUCGCAAGUUGAUCACCAAAACAUACAUCAAGUGGAUCACGUGAAUAUUCCAUUGUCACCACAGAUAAGCACAUGCAAGACAUACAUCAAGUGUUCUCAAAUCCUUACAGACUCAAUCCGAUAAGAUAACUUCAAAGGGAAAACUCAAUCCAUUACAAGAGAGUAGAGGGGGAGAAACAUCAUAAGAUCCAACUAUAAUAGCAAAGCUCGCGAUACAUCAAGAUCGUGCCGAAUCAAGAACACGAGAGAGAGAGAGAGAGAGAGAGAGAGAGAUCAAACACAUAGCUACUGGUACAUACCCUCAGCCCCGAGGGCGAACUACUCCCUCCUCGUCAUGGAGACCGCCAGGAUGAUGAAGAUUGCCACCGGAGAGGGAUUCCCCCCCUCCGGCAGGGUGCUGAAACGGGUCUAGAUUGGUUUUCGGUGGCUACAGAGGCUUGCAGCGGCGGAACUCCCAAUCUAGGUUUCUUUCUGGAAGUUGGGGUUAUAUAAGAGGCGUUGGUGUCGGGAACAAGUCAGGGGGUCCACGAGGCGGCCACGAGGUAGGGGGCGUGCCUAGGGGGGUAGGGAGUGCCCCCACCCUCGUGGGUGCCUCGGGACUCGUCUGGCCCAUCUCCAAUACUCUGUGGGCUUAUUCUGGUCCAAAAAUAAUCUCUGUAAAUUUUCAGGUCAAUUGGGUUCCGUUUGAUAUUCCUUUUCUGUGAAACUCAAAAACAAGGAAAAAAUAGAAACUGGCACUGGCUCUAGGUUAAUAGGUUAGUCCCAAAAAUCAUAUAAAAUAGCAUAUAAAUGCAUAUAAAACAUCCUAGAUGGAUAACAUAAUAGCAGGAACAAUAAAAAAUUAUAGAUACGUUGGAGACGUAUCAAUCCAACCGAUCCAAGUACCGAACGCACGCCACCUCCGCGAUCAGCACACGUUCAGCUCGAUGACAUCCCUCGAACUCUUGAUCCAGUUGAGGCCGAGGGAGGGUUCCGUCAGCACGACGACAUGGUGACGGUGAUGAUGAAGGUACCAACGCAGGGCUUUGCCUAAGCACUACAAUGAUAUGACCGAGGUGUGUAACUAUGGAGGGGGCAUCACACACGGCUAAAAGAUCAACUUGUGUGUCUUUGGGGUGCCCCCUCCCCCUGUAUAUAGAGGAGGGGAAGAGGAGGCCAGCCAAGGUGUGGCGCGCCAAGGGGGGAGUCCUACUUGGACUCCCGAUCCAAGUAGGAUUCGCCCCCUUUCCUAUUCCUACAAGGAGAAGGGGGGAAAGAGGGGAGGGAGAGAAGGAAAGGGGGCCCGCCCCCAACCCUAACCCAAUUUGGAUUGGGCUUGGGGGGGCGCCUCCACCUGGUCGCUGCCUCCUCUCUUCCACUAGAGCCCAUGAAGGGUUCCGGUAACCCCUUGGUACUCCGGAAAAUGCCCGAACCUAUCCGAAACCAUUCUGGUGUCCAAACAUAACCUUGCAAUAUAUCAAUCUUUAUGUCUCGACCAUUUCGAGACUCCUCGUCAUGUCCGUGAUCUCAUCCAGGACUCCGAACAAACUUUGGUUAAUCAAAACACAAAACUCAUAAUACAAAUCGUCAUCGAACGUUAAGCGUGCGGACCCUACGGGUUCGAGAACUAUGUAGACAUGACCGAGAUACAUAUCUGGUCAAUAAGAAAUAGCGGAGCCUGGAUGUUCAUAUUGGCUCCUACAUAUUCUAUGAAGAUAUUUAUCGGUCAAACCACAUAACAACAUACGUUGUUCCCUUUGUCAUCGUUAUGUUACUUACCCGAGAUUCAAUCGUCGGUAUCAUCAUACCUAGUUCAAUCUCGUUACCGGUAAGUCUCUUUACUCGUUUCAUAAUGCAUCAUCCCAUGGCUAACUCAUUAGACACAUUGCUUGCAAGGAUUAUAGUGAUGUGCAUUACUGAGAGGGCCUAGAGAUACCUCUCCAAUACACGGAGUGACAAAUCCUAAUCUUGAUCUAUGCCAACUCAACAAACACCAUCAGAGACACCUGUAGAGCAUCUUUAUAAUCACCCAGUUACGUUGUGAUGUUUGAUAGCACACAAGGUGUUCCUCUGGUAUUUGGGGGUUGCAUAAUCUCAUAGUCUGAGGAACAUGUAUAAGUCAUGAAGAAAGCAAUAGUAGAAGAACUAAACGAUCAUUAUGCUAAGCUAACGAAUGGGUCUUGUACAUCACAUCAUUCUCUAAUUAUCUGAUCCCGUUCGUCAAAUGACAACACAUGUCUAUGGCUAGAAAACUUAUCCAUCUUUGAUUAACGAGCUAGUCAAGUAGAGGCAUACUAGGGACACUCUGUUUGUCUAUGUAUUCACACAUGUACUAAGUUUCUGGUUAAUACAAUUCUAGUGUGAAUAAUAAACAUUUAUCAUGAUACUCCCUCCAUUCGGAAAAGCUUGUCCUUCAAAUGGAUGUAUCUAGCACCAAGUUAGUGCUAGAUACAUCCAUUUGAGGGACAAGCUUGAGACAAGCUUUUUCGGACGGAGGAAGUAUAAGGAAAUAUAAAUAACUUUAUUAUUGCCUCUAGGGCAUAUUCCUUCAAAAUAUACCUUUGUUUAUCACUUUAGCAUCCUUCUUAUCUGCCAAGUAUCUUGGGCAGUUCCACUUCCAGUGACCAUAUCCUUUGAAGUAGAAGCACUCAGUUUCAGGCUUGGGUCUAGCUUUGGGCUUCUUCAUGGGGGUGGCAACUUUCUUGCCAUUCUUUUGAAGUUUCCCUUUCUUUCCCUUUCCCUUUUUCUUGAAACUAGUGGUCUUGUUAACCAUCAACACUUGAUACUAUUUCUUGAUUUCUACCUUCGUCGAUUCCAGCAUCGCGAAGAGCUUGGGAAUCGUUUUUGUCAUCCCUUGCAUAUUAUAGUUCAUCCCGAAGUUCUAGUAACUUGGUGAUAGUGACUAGGGAACUCUGUCAAUCACUAUCUUAUCUGGAAGAUUAACUCCCACUUGAUUCAAGUGAUUGUAGUAUCCAGACAUUCUGAGCACAUGCUCACUGCCUGAGCUAUUCUCCUCCAUCUUGUAGGCAAAUUACUUGUCAGAGGUCUCAUACCUCUCGACAUGGGCAUGAGUCUGAAAUACCAAUUUCAUCUCUUGGAACAUCUCAUGUGCUCUAUGGCAUUCAAACAUUUUUGAAGUCCGGGUUCUAAGCCUUAAAUCAUGGUGCACUAAACUAUCAAGUAGUCAUCAUACCGAGCUUGUCAAACAUUCAUAACGUCUGCAUCUGCUCCUGCAAUAGGUCUGUCACCUAGCGGUGCAUCAAGGACAUAAUUCUUCUAUGCAGCAAUGAGUAUAAUCCUCAAAUCACGGACCUAGUCCGCAUCAUUGCUACUAUCAUCUUUCAACUUAGUUUUCUCUAGGAUCAUAUCAAAAAAAAUAGGGGAGCUAUACGCGAGCUAUUGAUCUACAACAUAGAUAUGCAAAUACUAUCAAGACUAAGUUCAUGAUAAAUUAAGUUCAAUUAAUCAUAUUACUAAAGAACUCCCACUUAGAUAGACAUCCCUCGAGUCAUCUAAAUGAUCAUGGAUCCAUAUCAACUAAACCAUGUCCGAUCAUCACGUGAGAUGGAGUAGUUUCCAAUGGUGAACAUCUCUAUGUUGAUCAUAUCUACUAUAUGAUUCACGUUAGACCUUUCGAUCUCCAGUGUUUCGAGGCUAUGUCUGUACAUGCUAGGCUCAUCAAGUUUAACCUGAGUAUUCCGCAUGUGCAGAACUGUCUUGCACCUGUUGUAUGUGAACGUAGAGCUUAUCACACCCGAUCAUCACGUGGUGUCUCGGCACAACGAACUAUCGCAACGGUGCAUACUCAGGGAGAAUGCUUAUACCUUGAAAUUUAGUGAGGGAUCAUCUUAUAAUGCUACUGCCAUACUAAGCAAAAUAAGAUGCAUAAAAGAUAAACAUCACAUGCAAUCAAAAUAUGUGACAUGAUAUGGCCAUCAUCAUCUUGUGCCUUUGAUCUCCAUAUUCAAAGCACCGUCAUGAUCUACAUCGUCACCGCCUUGACACCUUGAUCUCCAUCGCAACGUCGUGGUCGUCUCGCCAACUAUUGCUUCUACAACUAUCGCUAACGCAUAGUGAUAAAGUAAAGCAAUUACAUGGCGUUUGCAUUUCAUACAAUAAAGUGACAACCAUAAGGCUCCUGCCAGUUGCCGAUUACUUUUACAAAACAUGAUCAUCUCAUACAACAACGUAUAUCACAUCAUGUCUUGACCAUAUCACAUCACAACAUGCCCUGCAAAAACAAGUUAGACGUCCUCUACUUUGUUGUUGCAAGUUUUACGUGGCUGCUAUGGGCUUCUAGUAAGAACCGUUCUUACCUACGCAUCAAAACCACAACGAUGUUUCAUCAAGUUUGAUGUUUUAACCUUCAACAAGGACUGGUUGUAGUCAAAUUUGAUCCAACUAAAGUUGGAGAAACAGACACCCGCUAGCCACCUUGAUGCAAAACAAGUUGCAUGUCUGUCCGUGGAACCGGUCUCAUGAGCGCGGUCAUGUAAGGUUGGUUCGGGCCGCUUCAUCCAACAAUACCGCCGAAACAAAAUAAGACGUUGGUGGUAAGCGGUAUGACUAUCAUCGCCCAUAACUCUUUGUGUUCUACUCGUGCAUAUUGAUACGUCUCCAACGUAUCUAUAAUUUUUGAUUGCUCCAUGCUAUGUUAUCUAAUGUUUUGGGAAAUAUUGGGCUUUAUUAUCCACUUUUAUAUUAUUUUUGGGACUAACCUAUUAACCGGAGGCACAACCCAGAAUUGCUGUUUUUUUGCCUAUUUUAGUGUUUUGAAGAAAAGGAAUAUCAAACGAAGUCGAAACGGAACGAAAUGAACUGGAGAAGUUAUUUUUGGAAGGAAAGCUACCGGAUGGACUUGGACCCCAUGUCAGGAGCCAAGGGAGGUGCUCAUGAGUGAGGGGGGCGCCCCCCUAGGGCACGCCCCCUGCCUCGUGGGGCCCCCGAAGCUCCACCGACGUACUUCUUGCACCCAUAUAUACUCACGUACCCUAAAACUUCCAGAACAGACAAUAGAUCGGGAGUUCCACCGCCAGAAGCCUUCGUAGCCACCGAAAGCCAAUCUAGACCCGUUUCGGCACCCUGCCGGAGGGGGCAAUCCCUCUCCGGUGGCCAUCUUCAUCAUCCCAGUGCUCUCCAUGACGAGGAGGGAGUAGUUCUCCCUCGGGGCUAAGGGUAUGUACCAUUAGCUAUGUGUUUGAUCUCUCUCUCUCUCUCUCUCGUGUUCUUGAGGUGAUACGAUCUUGAUGUAUCAUGAGCUUUGUUAUUAUAGUUGGAUCUUAUGUUUCUCCUCCCCUCUUCUCUCUUGUAAUGAAUUGAGUUUCCCCUUUGAAGUAAUCUUAUCGGAUUGAGUCUUUAAAGAUUUGAGAACACUUGAUGUAUGUCUUGCCGUGCGUAUCUGUGGUGACAAUGGUAUACCGCGUGAUUCACUUGAUGUAUGUUUUGGUGAUCAACUUGCGGGUUCUGCCCAUGAACCUAUGCAUAGGGGUUGGCACACGUUUUUGUCCUGAUUCUCCGGUAGAAACUUUGGGGCACUCUUUGAGGUCAUUUGUGUUGGUUGAAUAGAUGAAUCUGAGAUUGUGUGAUGCAUAUCGUAUAAUCAUACCCACGGAUACUUGAGGUGACAUUGGAGUAUCUAGGUGACAUUAGGGUUUUGGUUGAUUUGUGUCUUAAGGUGUUAUUCUAGUACGGACUCUAGGGCUGUUUGUGACACUUAUAGGAAUAGCCCAACGGAUUGAUUGGAAAGAAUAACUUUGAGGUGGUUUCGUACCCUACCAUAAUCUCUUCGUUCGUUCUUCGCUAUUAGUGACUUUGGAGUGACUCUUUGUUGCAUGUUGAGGGAUAGUUAUGUGAUCCAAUUAUGAUAUUAUUGUUGAGGGAACUUACACUAGCGAAAGUAUGAACCCUAGGCCUUGUUUCAACACAUUGCAAUACCGUUUACGCUCACUUUUAUCAUUAGUUACCUUGCUGUUUUUAUAAUUUCAGAUUACAAAUACCUUUAUCUACUAUCCAUAUACCACUUGUAUCACCAUCUCUUCGCCGAACUAGUGCACCUAUACAAUUUACCAUUGUAUUGGGUCUGUUGGGGACACAAGAGACUCUUUGUUAUUUGGUUGCAAGGUUGCUUGAGAGAGACCAUCUUCAUCCUACGCCUCCUACGAAUUGAUAAACCUUAGGUCAUCCACUUGAGGGAAAUUUGCUACUGUCCUACAGACCUCUGCACUUGGGGGCCCAACAACGUCUACAAGAAGAAGGUUGUGUAGUAGACAUCACAUAUCAUCUACGCAUAGACCUGGCUCGGAUGCCACUGUUGGGGAACGUAACAUGCAAUUUCAAAAAAAAUCCUACGAUCAUACAAGAUCUAUCUAGGAGAUGCAUAGCAACAAGAGGGGGAGAGUGCGUCCACAUACCCUCAUAGACCGAAAGCGGAAGCGUUAGUUUAAUGCGGUUGAUGUAGUCGAACAUCUUCUCAAUUCAACCGAUCAAGUACUGAACGUACGACACCUCCGAGUUUUGCACACGUUUAGCUCGAUGACGUCCCUCGAACUCUUGAUCCAGCAAAGUGUUGAGUGAGAGUUUCGUCAACACGAUGGCGUAUUGACGGUGAUGGUGAAGUGAUUCGUGCAGGGCUUUGCCUAAGCACUACAACAAUAUGACCGGAGGCGUAAACUGUGGAGGGGAGCGCAGCACACGGCUAACAAUGUUUGUUGUGUGUUCUAGCGGUGGCCCCCCUCAUAUAUAUAGGUUGGAGGGGAGGAGAGGCAGCCAAGGGGGCUCCCCAAGUAGGAGGAAGCCUACUUGGGAACUUCCCAAUUCAGCCUCCCCCCUUUCCUAUUCCUAUUCGGAGUAGGAAGGGAAGACGGGGAAGGGGGAAUCCUAUUCCAUUUUUCCUUUCCUCCUUCCCCUUUCCUUCUCCAAUUUGGCCAGCCCAUAUGGGAGGGGCACACCAGACCCUUUGUGGCUGUCGUGUUCCCCUCUUUGCCCAUAAGGCCCAUAUAGUUUGCCGAGGGUAGCCCGGAAGCCCUUCUGGUGAACCAAUACGUACCCGGUACCCCCCGAACACUUCCGGUGUCCAAAUACUAUCAUCCUAUAUAUGAAUCUUUACCUCUUGACCAUUUAGAAACUCCUCGUCAUGUCCGUGAUCUCAUCCAGGACUCUGCACAAACCUCUGCACUUGGAGGCCCAACAACGUCUACAAGAAGAAGGUUGUGUAGUAGACAUCAAGCUCUUUUCUGGCGCCGUUGCCGGGGAGGUGAGUGCUUGAAGGUAUAUCUUUAGAUCUUGCAAUCAAGUCUUUUAGUUUCUUGUUUUAUCACUAGUUUAGUCUAUAAAAGAAAACUAUAAAAAAUGGAAUCGAGUUUGUCUCAUACGCUUCAUCUUUUUAAUAUCUUUUGUGAGUAUGAUGGAAAGGAAAAUUGUGCUCAAGUGCUAGAAGAAGAAAUCUAUAAAAUGUUUGGCACUAAAUAUUUGAAUGAUGAGCAUGAUUGCAAUGUUGUUAGUAUGAAUUCCUUGAAUAUCCAUGAUGCUAAUGAUAUGCAAAGCCACAAGCUUGGGGAAGCUAUGUUUGAUGAAGAUGAUAUAUUUUGUCCCCCAAGUUUUGAUGAGCAAAUUUAUUAUGAUGAAAGCAUGCCUCCUUUCUAUGAUGAUUAUUGUGAUGACUUGUAUGCUAUAAAGAAUAAUGAUAUCCAUGAAUCUUGUCAUCAUGAUUUUAGUUUUCAAUUGGAUUAUGCCUCACAUGAUAAUUAUUUUGUUGAGUUUGCUCCCACUAUUAUUCAUGAGAAGAAUUUUGCUUGUGUGGAGAGUAGUAAAUUUUCUAUGCUUGUAGAUCAUGAAAAGAAUGCUUUAGGUGCUGUUUAUAUUGUUGAAUUAAUUCAUGAUGCUACUGAAAAUUAUUAUGAGGGAGGAAUAUAUGCUUGUAGGAAUUGCAAUAAUAUCAAGUUUCCUCUCUAUGUGCUUAAAGUUUUGAAGUUAUGCUUGUUUUACCCUCCUAUGCUAGUUGAUUAUUGUUCCCACAAGUUGUUUGCCCACAAAAUCCCUAUGCAUAGGAAGUAUUUUAGACUUAAAUGUGCUAGUCAUAUUCUUCUUGAUGCUCUCUUUAUGUUUCAAUUCUUAUCCUUUAUGUGAGCAUCAUUGAAAUCAUCAUGCCUAGCUAGGGGCGUUAAACGAUAGCGCUUGUCGGGAGGCAACCCAACUUUAUUUUUGUUCCUUACUUUUUGCUCCUGUUUAGUAAUAAAUAAUUUAUCUAACCUCUGUUUAUAUGUGGUUUUAUGCUUUUAAUUAGUGUUUGUGCCAAGUAGAACCUUUGGGAAGACUUGGGGAAAGUCUUGUUGAUCAUGCUCUAAAAAACAGAAACUUUAGCGCUCACAAGAAUUGCUGCCAUUUUUAUUUGGAGAGUGCUAUUUAGUUAAUUAUUUUUGAAGAUGAUUAAUAGAUAAAUUCCUCAGGUCCAUAAAUUUAUUUGAGAAUUUUAUGAGUUCCAGAAGUAUACUUUUGAUCCAUAUUACUACAGACUUUUCUGUUUUUGACAUAUUCUGUUUUUCAUGUGUUGUUUACUUAUUUUGAUGAAUCUAUGGCUAGUAAAAGAGUUUAUAAACCAUAGAGAAGUUGGAAUACAGUAGGUUUAGCACCAAUAUAAAUAAAUAAUGAGUUCAUUACAGUACCUUGAAGUGGUGAUUUAUUUUCUUAUACGGAGCUUACGAGUUUUCUGUUAAGUUUUGUGUUGUAAAGUUUUCAAGUUUUGGGUAAGGAUUCGAUGGACUAUGGAAUAAGGAGUGGCAAGAGCCUAAGCUUGGGCAUGCCCGAAGCACCCCAAGGUAAUAUUCAAGGACAACCAAAAGCCUAAGCUUGGGGAUGCCCCGGAAGGCAUCCCCUCUUUCGUCCUCGUUCAUCGAUAACUUUACUUGGAGCUAUAUUUUUAUUUACCACCUGAUAUGUGUUUUGCUUGGAGCAUCAAUCUAUUUUGUUAGGAUUUGCUUGCUGUUAUUUAUAACAAUGUUUUGCAUCUUUUAUUUCAAUAAAAGUGGCAUUGAUAGCCUUUACUAUGCCUAUGUUACAAGAAUACAUGUUGCUGUUUGAAAACAGAAAGUUUACCACUGUUGCAAUAAUUCCCUAGAAAAGUCAGAAUGUGAUAAAAUGUUGAAACCUUUUGCAUAUUAAGCUCUGAUAAAUUUAAUACAGUGGGAAUUUUCUUUCAUAAUUUUUGGAGGUAGGGAAGUAUGGAUGUUGCUGCAUUCUUUACAGACUAUCCUGUUUAGGCAGAUUGCUGUUAUGUUUGCAUUGUUUGCAUAUGUUUGCUUCUUUAAUGAUUCUUUUUGAGGAUAGGACUAUUAAAUAUGCAGAGAAAUUUAGUAUGAAAUGUUGAAUAAUAAUUUUAGUGAUUUGCUACAGUAAAGUAUGAUAAGGUUUUGGCAAUGGUUUAUACUAACUUAUCUCACGAGUCCUUGUUGAGUUUUGUGUGGAUGAAGCUUUUGAGAUUUAGGGAGACCUUGAUAUGAGAGGAAUUAAGGAGACACAAAAGCUCAAGCUUGGGGAUGACCAAGGCACCCCAAUAUAAUACUUCAAGAAGUCUCAAGCAUCUAAGCUUGGGGAUGCCCUGGUUGGCAUCCCACCUUUCUUCUUCAACAAUUAUCGGUUAGUUUCGGUUGAUCCUAAGUUUUUACUUCUUCACAUGAUGUUUGCCAUUCUUAGAAUGUCAUUUUAUUUUGCUUUGCUUGCUAUUUGAAUAGAAUACCAAGAUCUGAAAUUAUUAAAUGUUAGAGAUUCUUCACAUAGUUGCAUAAUUAUUCGACUACUCAUUGAUCUUCACUUAUAUCUUUCGGAGUAGUUUGUCGAUGCUCUAGUGCUUCACUUAUAUCUUUUAGAGCAUGGUGGUAGUUUUAUUUUAUAGAAAUAGAUGAACUCCCAUGAUUCACUUAUAUCAUUUUGAGAGUUUUAAAUAGCAUGGUAAUUUGCUUAAAUAAUCCUAAUAUGCUAGGCAUCCAAGAAUAGUAAAAACUUUCAUAUAGAGUAUUGAAUACUAAGAGAAGUUUGAUGCUUGAUGAUUGUUUUGAGAUAUGGAGGUAAUAAUAUCAAAGUCGUGCUAGUUAAGUAGUUGUGAAUUUGAGGAAUACUUGUGUUGAAGUUUGCAAGUCCCGUUGCAUGCACGUAUGGUAAACGUUGUGUAACAAAUUUGAAACAUGAGGUGUUAUUUGAUUGUCUUCCUUAUGAGUGGCGGUCGGGGACGCGCGAUGGUCUUUUCCUACCAAUCUAUCCCCCUAGGAGCAUGCGCGUAGUGCCGAGGUUUUUGAUGACUCAUAGAUUUUCGCAAUAAGUAUGUGAGUUCUUUAUGACUAAUGUUAAGUCCAUGGAUUAUAUGCACUCUCACCCUUCCAUCAUUGCCAGCCUCUUCGGUACCGUGCAUUGCCCUUUCUCACAUUGAGAGUUGGUGCAAACUUCGCCGGUGCAUCCAAACCCCGUGAUAUGAUACGCUCUAUCACACAUAAACCUCCUUAUAUCUUCCUCAAAACAGCCACCAUACCUACCUAUUAUGGCAUUUCCAUAGCCAUUCCGAGAUAUAUUUCCAUGCAACUUUCCAUCAUUCCGUUCAUCAUGACACAUUCAUCAUUGUCAUAUUGCUUAGCAUGAUCGUGUAGUUGACAUAGUAUUUGUGGCAAAGCCACCGUUCAUAAUUCUUUCAUACAUGUCACUCUUGGUUCAUUGCAUAUCCUGGUACACCGCCGGAGGCAUUCAUAUAGAGUCGUCUUUGUUCUAGUAUCGAGUUGUAAUCAUUGAGUUGUAAAUAAAUAGAAGUGUGAUGAUCAUCAUUAUUAGAGCAUUGUCCCAAGUGAGGAAUAAAUAAAUAAAGAGAAAGGCCAAAGAAAGAGAAGGCCCAAAAAAAGGCCAUAAAAAAGAGAAGGCCCAAAAAAUGAGAGAAAAGGAGAGAAGGGACAAUGUUACUAUCCUUUUACCACACUUGUGCUUCAAAGUAGCACCAUGAUCUUCAUAGUAGAGAGUCUCUCAUGUUAUCACUUUCAUAUACUAGUGGGGAUUUUUCAUUAUAGAACUUGGCUUGUAUAUUCUAACAACGGGCCUCCUCAAGUGCCCUAGGUCUUCGUGAGCAAGCAAGUUGGAUGCACACCCACUUAGUUUCUUUUGUUGAGCUUUCAUACAUUUAUAGCUCUAGUGCAUCCGUUGCAUGGCAAUCCCUACUCCUUGCAUUAACAUCAAUCGGUGGGCAUCUCCAUAGCCCAUUGAUUAGCCUCGUUGAUGUGAGACUUUCACCUUUUUGUUUUCUCCACAUAACCUCCUCAUUAUAUUCUAUUCCACCCAUAGUGCUAUAUCCAUGGUUCGCGCUCAUGUAUUGCGUGAAAGUUUAUGAGUUUGAGAUUACUAAAGUAUGAAACAAUUGCUUGGCUUUUCAUCGGGGUUGUGCAUGAUGAGAGCAUUCUUGUGUGACGAAAAUGGAGCAUGACUAAACUAUAUGAUUUUGUAGGGAUGAACUUUCUUUGGCCAUGUUAUUUUGAGAAGACAUAAUUGCUUUGUUAGUAUGCUUGAAGUAUUAUUAUUUUUAUGUAAAUAUGAACUUUUAUCUUGAAUCUUUCGGAUCUUAAUAUUCAUGCCACAAUUAAGAAGAAUUACAUUGAAAUUAUGCCAAGUAGCACUCCGCAUAAAAAACUCUUUCUUUUAUCAUUUACCUACUCGAGGACGAGCAAGAAAGAAGCUUGGGGAUGCUUGAUACAUCUCCAACGUAUCCGUAAUUUUUGAUUGCUCCAUGCUAUGUUAUCUACUGUUUUGGGCAAUAUUGGGCUUUAUUAUCCACUUUUAUAUUAUUUUUGGGACUAACCUAUUAAUCGGAGGCCCAGCCCAGAAUUGCUGUUUUUUUGCCUAUUUCAGUGUUUCAAAGAAAAGGAAUAUCAAACAGAGUCGAAACGGAACGAAAUCAACUGGAGAAGUUAUUUUUGGAAGGAAAGCUACCGGAUGGACUUGGACCCCAUGUCAGGAGCCAAGGGAGGUGCUCACGAGGGUGGGGGGCGCCCCCCCUAAGGCGCGCCCCCUGCCUCAUGGGCCCCCAAAGCUCCACCGACGUACUUCCGGCACCCAUAUAUACUCACGUACCCUAAAACUUCCAGAACAGACAAUAGAUCGGGAGUUCCACCGCCAGAGGCCUCCGUAGCCACCGAAAGCCAAUCUAGACCCGUUCCGGCACCCUGCCAGAGGGGGCAAUCCCUCUUCGGUGGCCAUCUUCAUCAUCCCGGUGCUCUCCAUGACGAGGAGGGAGUAGUUCUCCCUCGGAGCUGAGGGUAUGUACCAGUAGCUAUGUGUUUGGUCUCUCUCUCUCUCUCUCUCGUGUUCUUGAGGUGAUACGAUCUUGAUGUAUCGCGAGCUUUGCUAUUAUAGUUGGAUCUUAUGUUUCUCCUCCCCUCUUCUCUCUUGUAAUGAAUUGAGUUUCCCCUUUGAAGUAAUCUUAUGGGAUUGAGUCUUUAAAGAUUUGAGAACACUUGAUGUAUGUCUUUCCGUGCAUAUCUGUGGUGACAAUGGUAUACCGCGUGAUUCACUUGAUGUAUGUUUUGGUGAUCAACUUGCGGGUUCCGCCCAUGAACCUAUGCAUAGGGGUUGGCACACGUUUUCGUCCCGAUUCUCCGGUAGAAACUUUGGGGCACUCUUUGAGGUCAUUUGUGUUGGUUGAAUAGAUGAAUCUGAGAUUGUGUGAUGCAUAUCGUAUAAUCAUACCCACGGAUACUUGAGGUGACAUUGGAGUAUCUAGGUGACAUUAGGGUUUUGGUUGAUUUGUGUCUUAAGGUGUUAUUCUAGUACGGACUCUAGGGCUGUUUGUGACACUUAUAGGAAUAUCCCAACGGAUUGAUUGGAAAGAAUAACUUUGAGGUGGUUUCGUACCCUACCAUAAUCUCUUUGUUCGUUCUUCGCUAUUAGUGACUUUGGAGUGACUCUUUGUUGCAUGUUGAUGGAUAGUUAUGUGAUCCAAUUAUGAUAUUAUUGUUGAGGGAACUUACACUAGAGAAAGUAUGAACCCUAGGCCUUGUUUCAACGCAUUGCAAUACCGUUUACGCUCACUUUUAUCAUUAGUUACCUUGCUGUUUUUAUAAUUUCAGAUUACAAAUACCUUUAUCUACUAUCCAUAUACCACUUGUAUCACCAUCUCUUCGCCGAACUAGUGCACCUAUACAAUUUACCAUUGUAUUGGGUCUGUUGGGGACACAAGAGACUCUUUGUUAUUUGGUUACAAGGUUGCUUGAGAGAGACCAUCUUCAUCCUACGCCUCCUACGGAUUGAUAAACCUUAGGUCAUCCACUUGAGGGAAAUUUGCUACUGUCCUACAAACAUCUGCACUUGGAGGCCCAACAACGUCUACAAGAAGAAGGUUGUGUAGUAGACAUCACAUAUCAUCUACGCAUAGACCUGGCUCAGAUGCCACUGUUGGGGAAUGUAGCAUGCAAUUUCAAAAAUUUCCUACGAUCAUACAAGAUCUAUCUAGGAGAUGCAUAGCAACAAGAGGGGGAGAGUGUGUCCACAUACCCUCAUAGACCGAGAGCGGAAGCGUUAGUUUAAUGCGGUUGAUGUAGUCGAACAUCUUCUCGAUUCAACUGAUCAAGUACUGAACGUACGACACCUCCGAGUUUUGCACACGUUUAGCUCGAUGACGUCCCUCGAACUCUUGAUCCAGCAAAGUGUCGAGUGAGAGUUUCGUCAACACGAUGGCGUAUUGACGGUGAUGGUGAAGUGAUCCGUGCAGGGCUUUGCCUAAGCACUACAACAAUAUGACCGGAGGCGUAAACUAUGGAGGGGAGCGCAGCACACGGCUAACAAUGUUUGUUGUGUGUUCUAGUGGUGCCCCCUCAUAUAUAUAGGUUGGAGGGGAGGAGAGGCAGCCAAGGGGGCUCCCCAAGUAGGAGGAAUCCUACUUGGGAACCUCCCAAUUCAGCCUCCCCCCUUUCCUAUUCCUAUUCGGAGUAGGAAGGGAAGACGGGGAAGGGGGAAUCCUAUUCCCUUUUUCCUUUCCUCCUUCCCCUUUCCUUCUCCAAUUUGGCCAACCCAUAUGGGAGGGGCACACCAGACCCUUUGUGGCUGCCGUGUUCCCCUCUUGGCCCAUAAGGCCCAUAUAGUUUGCCGAGGGUAGCCCGGAAGCCCUUCUGGUUAACCGAUACGUACCCGGUACCCCCGGAACACUUCUGGUGUCCAAAUACUAUCGUCCUAUAUAUGAAUCUUUACCUCUGGACCAUUUCGAGACUCCUUGUCAUGUCCGUGAUCUCAUUCGGGACUCUGAACAACAUUCGGUCACCAAAUCACAUAACUCAUAUAAUACAAAAUCAUCAUCGAACGUUAAGUGUGCGGACCCUACGGGUUGGAGAACUAUGUAGACAUGACCGAGACACCUCUCCGGUCAAUAGCCAAUAGCGGAACAUGGAUGCUCAUAUUGUUUCCCACAUAUUCUAUGAAGAUCUUUGUCGGUCGUACCGUAAUGACAACAUAUGUUAUUCCCUUUGUCAUCGGUAUGUUACUUGCCCGAGAUUCGAUUGCCGGUAUCUUCAUACUUAGUUCAAUCUCGUUAUCGGCAAGUCUAUUUACUCAUUCCGUAAUGCAUCAUCCCACAACUGACUCAUUGGUCACAUUGCUUGCAAGGCUUAUCAUGAUGUGCAUUACUGAGAGGGCCCAGAGAUACCUCUUUGAUAGUCGAAGUGACAAAUCCUAAUCUCGAUCUAUGCCAACCCAACAAACGCCUUCGGAGAUACCUGCAGAUCAUCUUUACGAUCACCCAGUUACGUUGUGACGUUUGAUAGCACACAAGGUAUUCCUCUAGUAUUCGGGAGUUGCAUAAUCUCAUAGUUAAAGGAAUAUGUAUAAGUCAUGAAGAAAGCAAUAGCAAUAAGACUUAACGAUCAUUAUGCUAAGCUAACGGAUGGGUCGUACUCGAGUGCAGUACAGCCAUAGAGUAGGUGCUCAUGUUACCGUUUGAGAGGCAGACGACGACAAGCUCGAGGUGCUUCAGUCGUGGUAGAAUAAGAGCGGGCGUGUCAUUAAGGGGUGGGGGGGGGGAAUGGCAGUUCCUGAACUGGGCGACGCGCAGGAUGGGCGCGAGGCGGAGUGCAAACGUUGGCAGUGACCGCAUAUGCCCAUCAUCAAAAGUUAGCUCCUCGAGCUGAUCUAGGGCGGGGGAUCAGAACCAGUCGUCAAGCUUGGCUCGGUCCUUGCCGUUGGAACGGAACCUGCCCAUUCUAAGGCCUUUGGUUGGGCCAAGGUGACUGAGGGAGUUCUAGAUUAGGGGGGUCCUCGGACAGCCGGACUAUAUACUUUGGUCGGACUGUUGGACUAUGAAGAUACAAGAUUGAAGACUUCGCCCCGUGUCCGGGUGGGACUCUCCUUUGCGUGGAAGGCAAGCUUGGCAAUUCGGAUAUGUUGAUCUCCUCCCUUGUAAUCGACUCUGUGUAACCCUAGCCCUUCCGGUGUUUAUAUAAACCAGAGGGUUUAGUCCGUAGGACAACAACAAUCAUACCAUAGGCUAGCUUCUAGGGUUUAGCCUCUCCGAUCUCGUGGUAGAUCAACUCUUGUAAUACUCAUAUCAUCAAGAUCAAUCAAGCAGGCAGUAGGGUAUUACCUCCAUUGAGAGGGCCCGAACUUGGGUAAACAUUGUGUCCCCCGCCUCCUGUUACCAUCCGCCUUAGACGCACAGUUCGGGACCCCCUACCCGAGAUCCGCCGGUUUUGACACCGACAUUAGUGCUUUCAUUGAGAGUUCCACUAUGUCGUCAUGAUAAGGCCCGAUGGCUCGUCUUGUUGUCAGGGACAACGUUACCUCCGGGGGAGCCCUGGCUGUAGGCCAAACCCUCCGAUUAGGCGGCUUCGUCGUGACCGCCCCCGUCGCGCCGACGAUGACUUCUCGGGUCAUCAAAAACAACCUCCACGUUGGCUCGGGAUUCACCGAGCAGAUGGAUCCAAUGGAGCUCUCUUAUUUGAACGAGCUCUUGGAUCGCAUCGCCGCCUUGGGAGUCGCUACGGACUAUGAUCGGAUCGGGCUUAAACCCGACCAAAGGGAAAUUAACUCUCCGCCGGUUACCCAUCAGGUAGCGGUGGCGGAGGAGUGAUGCAACGAUUCUUCCUCUAUUUUGAGGACAAACUAUGUCCGGAUUCUCGAGCUCCCUGAGCCGGAUACCCGUCUACGGGAGGACAUGGCCCAAGCUUCGAACCUGGAAUCGAACAACGGGCUAGUACCGUUGGGCAACGUCCCAGAGCCCGAACUACCAAGCUCGGAAACUCCUUUGGGUCUCAGACCAGGAUAGGGUUUGGACUUAAAUCUACCCACCCACCCUCACAUAAGUGAUCUUUCCCAUAUUAGACAAGAGCCCCAAGAGACAGUACAUCACUAUUGGGCCAGAUUCCUCCUUGCAAUAAGCAAGGUGAAGGACUGUUGCGAGGAAGACGCAAUUUCAUUCUUUUGCAAAAAUUGCACGGACAAGGGAAUCCUCAACGCCAUAAGUCACCGUGAUAUAACACACUUCGCUGACUUGGCGUCCAUAGCACGGAAGUACUAUGCUAUGGAAAGCACUUGGAAAACCCAAACACAAUUCUGGGAUCCUCCGACUCUAACUAAACCCUCUAUCCAAACUAAAAGGGUGUACUCUCGUAAGUCACCCAAUACAAUUACAAAGAAGCCAAAACCCACUACAGGGCGCGGAACCGUAUUGGAGGGAUGGCUCAAUGGGCCAUGCAAAAUUCAUAGUAUAUCGGAUACCAUGCCAACAGACAGCCUUAGAGCAUGUUGGAUACUCCGGCAGGUGGCCAGGAGCGGCAAGGAUCUCCUUGUCAACAAUACCGCAGAGCACCCUCUCACGGAAAAUAACAAUACAGUACUGACAGUCUUCGAGAUUUUUGCCUCAAACAAUAGGCGCAAGCGGGCACUUCGCAGCCUUGCCGAAGUCUGCCACGUUGCAACGAUAAAUGCAUGGAACGACACGGCCAUAACCUUCAAUGCCAGUGACGAACCUCAAUUCUGCACAACCCGAGCUCUAGCCACUUUGGUCCUUAGUCCAAUUGUGGACGGCUUCCGGCUUACUAAAGUACUCAUGGACGGUGCCAGCGGAUUAAACCUCAUCUAUGAGGAGACUCUUAGAAAAAUGGAAAUAGACAAGAGCCGCAUUGAGCAAAGCAGCACGACCUUCAGAGGAAUCAUCCCUAGCCGGGAGGCACGAUGUGCGGGAAAAAUCACACUAGAUGUGGUAUUCGGCACGCCGGGGAAUUACAUGUCCGAAGAAAUCACAUUCCAAGUGGCCCCGUUUAGCAGCGGAUACCACACCCUUCUAGGGCGAGAGGCAUUCACGAUCUUCCAAGCUAUACCCCAUUAUGGGUACAUGAAGCUCAAGAUGCCCGGGCCCAAUGGAAUCAUCACUCUAGCUAGUGAUCCGGACAUAGCACUCUACGCCGAAAUCGAAGCAUUAUCCGAAGCCCUCGCGGCCAAAGAACUAACUGCGUUGCACUCUAUAGUGGACAGGGACGACAUGAUACUCGACAAAAGACCCAAGUCCACCUCCUUUAAACCAACGGACAAAAUAGUCAAAUUCCAGGUCCACCCAACGGACCCUACAAAAACAUCAUCCAUCGGGGCACAGCUGAACCCCACAACAGACGCCACUGCGGGAGUUCUUACGCGAGAAUUGGGACAUCUUCGCUUGGCAUCCUUCAGAUAUGCCAGGCAUACCACGCAGGCUGGUCGAGCAUAGCCUAAACAUUCUAAAGGGAUACAAGCCGGUCAAGCAAACUCUUCGGUGUUUCUCCGAACCCAAGCGACAAGCCAUGGGAGAAGAACUAGCCAAGUUACUCGAGGCUGCAUUCAUUAGAGAAAUAAAACACCCGGACUGGCUAGCAAACCUGGUGAUGGUACCAAAGAAGGACAAAUCCUGGCGCCUAUGUGUCGAUUUUAAGGACCUUAACAAGGCUUGCCCAAGGAUCCCUUCCCCCUCCCCCGCAUCGAUCAAAUUAUCGAUGCUACCGCGGGACACGACUCGUUGUGUUUCCUCGACGCAUACUCCAGAUACCAUCAAAUCAAGAUGGCGGAGCCCGAUCAAGCCGCAACGGCAUUCAUUACUCCAUACGCCCCCUUCUGUUUCAACACCAUGCCUUUCGGGCUCAAAAACGCCGGUGCGACCUAUCAUCGCAUGAUUUAGACAUGCCUGGAAGCACAAAUCGGCAAAACAGUGGAGGCAUACAUAGACGAUGUGGUAAUUAAAACCAGACACGUCGAAUCUUUGAUAGACGACUUGAGGCUCACGUUCGACAAUCUCCGAUCAUAUGACAUUAAGCUCAAUCCGGAAAAAUGCGUUUUCGGCGUACCCACCGGAAAGCUCUUGGGCUUCAUCGUUUCCAACAGAGGAAUUGAAACGAAUCCGGCUAAAAUCCAAGCUCUGUCAUAGUUGUCUAUCCCAACAAACCUCAAGCAAAUCCAGAAAUUAACUAGAUGCGUGGCUGCCUUAAGCCGCUUUAUCUCCCGAUUGGGAGAAAAGGCAUUACCUCUUUAUCGCCUUCUUCGGCACACCAAACACUUCGAGUGGAGGACGCGGCUACGGCCGGAUUGGAAGAAAUAAAAGCUGCCUUGGCCUGCAACCCAAUCUUGGCCGCGCCAAAUAUCGGUGAACCAAUGUUGUUAUAUAUAGCGGCAACACACCAGGUUGUAAGCGCAGUGCUCGUCGUCGAACGAGAAACGGACGGACAUAAGUUCCCGCUUCAAAAGUUGGUAUACUACGUAUCUACUAUCCUCACUCCAUGCAAAUCCUGGUACCCACAUUAUCAAAAGAUAGCAUACACGGUCUUCAUGGAAUCCCAAAAACUACGACACUACUUUCAAGAGUGUUCAAUUACAGUGGCCUCCGAGGUUCCACUCAACGACAUUAUAAACAACCGCGAUGCCACGGGCCGGAUUGCUAAUGGGCUAUUGAGCUCCUCCCGUUCAACAUAUCAUACAAACCACGACGAGCCAUUAAGUCACAAUUACUGGCUGAUUUCGUUGCCGAAUGGACAGAAGCUGAACUCCCUAAAGAAUACGGCGCGUACUCCAAUUGGAUCAUGCACUUCGGGGGCUCUAAAGUGCUGGCGGGUCUGGCAGCAGGCGUCGUCCUGACAUCCCCAACCGGAGAUACAGUCCAAUACGUACUCCAAAUAUUAUACACAGAUUCCAACAACGCAACCGAAUAUGAGGCCCUGUACCUGUUGCAUGGUCUCCGGAUGGCAGUCUCCAUGGGCAUUCAACACCUAGAGGUGCGUGGGGAUUCGAACCUCGCAAUAUCUCAAAUAAAUGGAGAUUUUGAUGCCAAGGACCCAAAAAUGGUGGCUUAUCGCAAUGUCGUCCUCAAAAUGUCAGCUCGAUUCGAGGGGCUCGAAUUCCACCAUGUGGUCCGAGAAAACAAUCAGGCGGCGGAUAUCCUCGCCCGAAUCGGUGCUAAGCGUGACCCUGUCCCACCUAAUAUCUUCUUGGAAAGGCUGUUUAAGCCAUCCGUGGUGUGGGAAGGGGAGACCGGCAACAAUAGUACGGAUCUGUCCACAAGACCAGACCCCGAACACUCUGACGUAAUUGGAGGCUCCGCCACCGAGAUAACACCUUCGGCCCACGUGAUUAUGGCUGUCAUCGCGUCGUGGACAGAACCCUUCUUGGCCUACCUAAAUAGGCAAGAACUCCCUGAGGACCAAAACGAGGCACGUUGCAUUGUGCGGUGGUCAAAAGCCUACAAGGUCCAUGAGGGAGAGCUUUAUAAGAAAAGCGCUAACGGAGUACUGCAAAGGUGCAUCUCCGAGGAGGAAGGACGACAACUUUUGGCAGAGAUUCAUGCUGGACUCGGCGGCCAUCACGCUGCAGCUUGGGUCCUUGUAAGUAAGGCCUUCCGUACAGGUUUCUACUGGCCGACAGCUCGAGCAGACGCACAGGACCUCGUUCAACAUUGCGUCGGUUGCCAGCUCUUUGCAAACCAAAGCCAUAUGCCACCUACCACCCUCCAAACAAUCCCCAUUACUUGGCCCUUCGUGGUCUGGGGGCUUGAUAUGGUCAGACCCCUUAAAGGAGGAAGCCAUAAGAAAAAGUACCUAUUGGUCAUAGUGGAUAAAUUCACCAAAUGGAUAGAGGCCAAACCAGUUAAAACGGUCGAAUCUGGACCGGUGAUAGAUUUCAUAUCCGGGGUUGUACACCGCUACGGUGUCCCCCACAGUAUUAUCACCGAUAACGGCUCGAACUUUAUAGUCGAUGAGGUAAAAACUUGGUGCGGCAACAUGGGCAUUAAGCUCGAUUAUGCAUCCAUCUAUCACCCUCAAACUAACCAUCAAGUCGAACGAGCAAAUGGUCUUAUAAUGAGCGGCAUUAAACCCAGACUAGUGCGGUCCUUGAAGGAAUCAGAUACACACUGGGUCGAGGAGCUCGACUCCGUACUAUGGGGGAUGCGGACCACGCCAAAUCGCACUACCGGAUACACACCUUUCUUUAUGGUGUACGGCGCAGAGGCAGUACUGCCCUAUGACAUCAUUCAUGACUCACCUCGCGUGCGCAUGUACGAAGAGAAAGAAGCUGAGCUAGAUCGGCAGGACAGUUUGGACGCCCUGGAGGAGGAGCAUGACGUGGCAAAAGCCCGAUCUGCAUUCUAUCAACAAUAGGCUCAACGAUAUCAAAGCAGAGAAGUACGGGCCAAAACUUAUAAUGUUGGCGAACUCGUUCUAUGCCUACGAGAGAAGAAAAAGGACAAGCUCAAACCCAAAUGGGAAGGUCCCUUUGUUAUUGACAAAGUUCUGACCGGUGGAGCGUACCAUCUGCGGGAUGCAUUGGGCAAUCGACUCGAGCCAAACCCAUGGAACGCGGCCAGACUCCGAAGGUUCUACGCCUAGCGCCAGACUCUGUGUUCGUCUCCUUACCUCCAUCAAUUUUUUAUAUAUUUGUUAUCUAUAUUUUUCUGUCUUUCUUCCUUUUCUUCACGGACUUCAAAGGUUAAAAUGUGUCUUGACUGCACAAUUUGUACACGCUAAGCGCGCUCAUUAUACCUGGGGACUUCUUAUACAGAAGCUUAAUAUAAUUAUGAUCUGAGCUCUAUGCGUGCCGCACAUGUGUUAUUUUUACACAUGCACCUUUCUUUGCCAUUAUAUGCAUCAAUAUGACUUAAGUUUUGGCCAAGCUAGGUUGCCUGGCUCUUGUGUUUAUGCCCUACGUUCCUGUUAAUUUGGCUAGGGCAUAAGGGGAGCACCUCUGCGAUUGUUACUGUCGGGUCAGCCGGACGUGUACUCAGACUGGGUGAAGCCGAAAGCUAGCAUUCUUAAGGGAAUAUUCGGUCGGUGAACAAAGGAUGACUUUUUACUUAUUAUAAUACAUACCCCCAGAUGUUUAUAUCUUGCGUCUCUUGUCGCAGUUCGUACAUGCACAUUAAUGCAUGCGUACCCAGGGAAAGGAACCCUUAACGGAACUAUUCUCCCUGGAAGACGUUUCUUACUAUCCAUGUAAUAUAACAUAACCAGUUGGGUACUUGUCUGUUGAUGACCCACAAGUAUAGGGGAUCUAUGGUAGUCCUUUCGAUAAGUAAGAGUGUCGAACCCAACGAGGAGCAGAAGGAAAUGAUAAGCGGUUUCCAGCAAGGUAUUCUCUGCAAGUACUGAAAUAAGUGGUAACAGAUAGUUUUGUGAUAGGAUAAUUUCUAAUGAGCAAUAAGUAACAAAAGUAAAUAAAGUGCAGCAAGGUGGCCCAAUCCUUUUUGUAGCAAAGGACAAGCCUGGACAAACUCUUAUAUGAUGCAAAGCGCUCCCGAGGACACAUGGGAAUAUCGUCAAGCUAGUUUUCAUCAUGUUCAUAUGAUUCGCGUUCGGUACUUUGAUAUAUUGGUAUGUGGGUGAACCGGUGCUUGGGUACUGCCCUUACUUGGACAAGCAUCCCACUUAUGAUUAACCUCUAUUGCAAGCAUCCGCAACUACAACAAAAGUAUUAAGGUAAACCUAACCAUAGCAUGAAACAUAUGGAUCCAAAUCAGCCCCUUACGAAGCAACGCAUAAACUAGGGUUUAAGCUUCUGUCACUCUAGCAACCCAUCAUCUACUUAUUACUUCCCAAUGCCUUCCUCUAGGCCCAAAUAAUGGUGAAGUGUCAUGUAGUCGAUGUUCACAUAACACCACUAGAGGAGAGACAACAUACAUCUCAUCAAAAUAUCGAACGAAUACCAAAUUCACAUGACUACUAAUAGCAAGACUUCUCCCAUGUCCUCAGGAACAAAAGUAACUACUCACAAAGCAUAAACAUGUUCAUAAUCAGAGGGGUAUCAAUAUGCAUAUAGGAUCUGAACAUACGAUCUUCCACCAGUUAAACCAACUAGCAUCAACUACAAGGAGUAAUUAACACUACUAGCAACCUACUAGCACCAAUCCCGGACUUGGAGACAAGAAUUGGAUACAAGAGAUGAACUAGGGUUUUGAGAUGAGAUGGUGCUGAUGAAGAUGUUGAUGGAGAUUGCCCUCUCACGAUGAGAGGAGUGUUGGUGAUGAUGAUGGCGAUGAUUUCCCCCUCCGGGAGGGAAGUUUCCCCAGCAGAACAGCUCCGCCAGAGCCCUAGAUUGGUUCCGCCAAGGUUCCGCCUCGUGGCGGUGGAGUUUCGUCCGAGAAGAUGGCUUAUGAUUUUUUUUCCCAUCGAAAGACCCCAUAUAGCAGAAGAUGGCCACCGGAGGGCCACCAGGGGGCCCACGAGGUAGGGGGGCACGCCUUGGGGGGUAGGGUGCUCCCCCCACCCUCGUGGGCAGGGUGUGGCCCCCCUGGUGAAGUUCUUGCUCUCAGUAUCUUUUAUAUAUUUGGAAAACAUCUUCCGUGAAGUUUUAGGACUUUUGGAGCUGUGCAUAAUAGGUCUCUAAUAUUUUCUCCUUUUCCAGCCCAGAAUCCCAACUGCCGGCAUUCUCCCUCUUUAUGUAAACCUUGUAAAAUAAGAGAGAAUGGACAUAAGUAUUGUGACAUAAUGUGUAAUAACAGCCCAUAAUGCAAUAAAUAUCGAUAUAAAAGCAUGAUGCGAAAUGGACGUAUGGUCUGUUCAAGCACUUAUCACCCCUACGCUUGGUUUCCACGCGUACCCCGGUUUUUACAUAACUGAGCGGGUAUUCGGAUACACUCCGGACUGUCGGGUCCGGAGGUCGAAGCGAAAAGGUCCGCCAUGAAAAAUGAUUUACAAUCCGGCUAGGGACAAUAUAUGUCACUCGAAGUACACAGUCACUUAGACUAACUAAAUUCUUCUUCUAUACCAUCGAACAGGCUGUCUAGCCUACAAUCCUGUUGGGAAUACUUUGCGGCUAAUUUCACCUGGUCAUACACCAAGCUGACGGUGAUCUCUUUCCCGUCAGGCCCUACAGGUCCGACCUCGGCCAUAUGGUUCGGGUCAGCCUUGGUAUAUCGAGUCUUCACCAUGGCCCAGGCUUCCCUUGCACCUUGUCGACAGGCAGAUAUCUUCCAUAAUUGGAAGCGCCGCUGCGCUCCCUUGAGUAUCUCUACAAGCUCCCCCAUGCUUCUUGGCACGGAGGCGGAUGGCCACAAGGCCUAGGCAAGGUCCUGCAUCACCUGCCGAACUUGUUCAUGCAGUUGUGAGAGCUCUGGUAGAAGAUCUCCCGCAGACCCGAGCAUCUCCUCUCCGGGACGGCCCGUCAGCAUACUUACAGAUAUAGCUCUGUUAUCUGGUUUCUUCACCGAGCUCUAUAGAAGUUCGCUCAAGCACUUACUGAAAAUGUCGCGUCGAAGCCUUUUAUUCUCCUUUACGGAGUCAGCCAGCUGGUUCCGAACAUCUUUCAGUUCAACAUCCAGUCGGGUAUUGGCAUCUUGGAGAUCAUUUUUCUCCCGCCUAACUUGUGUAAGCACACGCUCGCCAGCCUUCAGCUGUUGUUGAGCAUGUUACUCCUCCGGAUUCACUCCGGGAUCAUCUGCAGAAUCUAUCAAUUAGAUUAGCAUGCAAGCCAAAUAUUAACUGGUAUAUCUCGUUCUUUUCAAUAGGAACAAGUGUUACCAGAUGGGGCCUUCUUGGACUCCUCCAUUUUGGCAACUGUGACCCGUAGCUGGGCUUUGCACUCCUCCAGCUCUUGAGACAAUUGGGUAUUCUUCUCAGUAAGAACCUAUGUAAAUAAUGAUCCUUAAAUCAGUUGUGCCAACUGUUUCAAGUCUUAGGGGCUACUGGUAUAUAUAAUUAUCAGAUUUUCUUACCCAUAUAUCCUUUACAUACUGGUCUGUGGCUCUGAAAAGACCAUUUUGAGCAACUCAGAUGUACGCGUCCCCUGAGUUGAAGGCAUCAAACGCCUCUUCAGAAAAACCGGGGUCGCGGAGUACGGCCCGACGACCCUUGUGCUUCAUGGCACUCUCCACUUCGGAAUUUGUAGUGGACAGCCUAUCCGCAUCCUCGACAGGAGGAAUAUCCGGCGUUGUCCCCACGUUAGCAUCUGCCUCCAAGUCCGGAUCUAGAGCCCGGCUGGUGGAGGCAUGGCCGGCAGGCUCUCCGGAUACGGUCCGACGAGCGUUUUCCCGGUUUUGACCAUGGACGUUAUUAUAUUUUAAAGACAAUAACCACGAAGCAGGGUUCUUUUUCAUACCUCUGCGACGACAUCUCAGUCUUGACCGCCUUCUUUUUAAGCCUACCCAGUUUCGGUGCCCCUUGUUGGUGAGUCAGUGCAGGUUCGGCAUGGCGUCCCGAGGGCCUUCCCUGCAAGACAUCAUACAUGUGCGGUGGGUGAAGUGCGAAAAAGGGGAUCCUUCUCGGAAGUUGGGACUCCGGUUUUACUUACAUGCAAUGCAGUGAGCAGUCCAGGAUAAUCGGCGGUGAUGGCCACCAAGGCACCGUCGCGACUUAACUGAUAAAACAUCAUGUCGAUGAACUCCACGAAUAUGUCCGGAUCUUCUUCGAGUCCGGGAUCGAGGGCUAAAUCAGGGUCCUCUGGCUGUGGAGAUGGGCUGUGAAUCUCCCUCACAGCUUUUUGUAGUUCCUGCUAUGAAAUAGCAAGGUAAAUAUUUAAGACAAAGAAAGCGGGAAGGUUUGGAGUAAAAAGCAGCAGCUCACCCAGUUUGGGGGGUUGUACAUGGAGAAUCCAUCCCUCGCUUAAUACGGAUGAACUCCUCUUCCUCUCCCUUAUAUAAAUCAGACAAUAUUUUCGCCAGAGCGGCAGAGGAGUCCGGACCUUUACGGCUGCAACGGGUGGCAUCGUCUUCUCCAUUGAAGUGCCACAUGGGUUGUCCCCGAUAUUGAAGUGGCUGCACCCCCCGCAUUAUACAUAUUGACAUAACCUCGAUUAUUGUCAGUCCUGAUUCGACCAGUGUCUUUAUCCGGCUCAUCAGGUAAAGGACUUCUUUGUUAUCUUCCUCCUGGGGGCUCCGAGGGCGCCAGCUACGGCGUUUCUUCGAAGGGGCGUUGUUGAACUCAGGAAGGCCCAUCCAAAAUAGGGUUUGGGAGGGGAACAUCCUCCAUAUAAAACCACUCCGAAGGCCAGUCUUUAGAUGUCUUCUUUGGAGUACCGGACAGGUAUCCGGUCCCGGCGAUGCGCCAUAUUUUGGCUCUGCCCACUUGAAAUAUUGACCCCUUCUGUGUACGGGGCACGAGGCAGAAUAGCCUCUGCCAUAGCUUGAAAUGAGCUUCGCAGCCCAGAAACAGCUCGCAAAGGGCAACGUAGUCUGCGAUGUGUAAUAUGGAGGCGGGAGUAAAGUUAUGCAGCUGGAGGCCAUAGAACUCCAGGAGCCCACGGAGGAAUGGAUGGAUUGGAAAUCCGAGUCCCCUCAGUAAAUAAGGGACGAGGCAUACCCGCUCCCCUGUGGAUGGGUUGGGAAAGCUUUCCGCUUGCUCCCCGCCAUUAUAAGUGGCUAGUCCGGCUCAUACGGGGACCAUGUACGCAGGAGGGAGAAACCCCUGGGUCUGCAACUCUACUAGUUGGCUAUGGGGAAUAGAACACUUCUCCCAACUACCUGGCUUAUGGCUAUGGGGGCGGGAGGAGGAGCUGCGGUGGCCGGCCAUGAUGGGAUGGAUUUUUCCGGGCACGCUCCGAUGGAUACUCGCUGUGGGAAGGUGGUGUGAUCUAGAUCUGAAGAUCCCCGACUGUUUAAAUAGACGAUUCAUCUACCUGGUUAGGGUGGUAAAUGUAAAAACACCCCGACCUCUCGCAUUCGCUCGACAUGUGGAAGAUGGCCAUUAUUAAGGCACAGAAGCCGAGGAGUGCAACAUUCAUGGGAGGCCGAACACAACUCGUUACGACAGGUACUCAGGAUUUGGAGGAGAACCCGCCUUGCAAUGCUGAAGACAAUCUGCGCGCCGGACUCCGUCAUUGAAGCCUGGUUCGGGGGCUACUGGGGGAGUCCUGGAUUAGGGGGUCCUCGGACAGCCGGACUAUAUACUUUGGCUAGACUGUUGGACUAUGAAGAUACAAGAUUAAAGACUUCGUCCUGUGUCCGGGUGGGACUCUCCUUUGCGUGGAAGGCAAGCUUGGCAAUUCGGAUAUGUAGAUCUCCUCCCUUGUAACCGACUCUGUGUAACCCUAGCCCCUCCGGUGUCUAUAUAAACCGGAGGGUUUAGUCCGUAGGACAACAACAAUCAUACCAUAGGCUAGCUUCUAGGGUUUAGCCUCUCCGAUCUUGUGGUAGAUCAACUAUUGUAAUACUCAUAUCACCAAGAUCAAUCAAGCAAGAAGUAGGGUAUUACCUCCAUCGAGAGGGCCCGAACUUGGGUAAACAUUGUGUCCCCCGCCUCCUGUUACCAUCCGCCUUAGACGCACAGUUCGGGACCCCCUACCCGAGAUCCGCCGGUUUUGACACCGACAGUGACUGCCGAGGAUCUUGGAGAACGCAUCCAAACUUUUGCGAUAGCCAUGGCAGAGCUCGUGGGUGUCGAUGAGGUCGAGAGGGCUGGAGUUCCAUAGGGGGCACCACCGCCGGGAAAGGACGGUUGUCCGCACCCCAUAUUUGAUUGGGAGGAGGGAGAUGAUGACUCUCAACAUAUCAUCGGGGAGGCUAAUGAUGAAGUCUAGGUCUGCUGGAGUUGCUUGCAGUUCUAGCUCGCCCCGCCUCAGCUUGUUGGCAGCCCCCGUUCUCCACCUCUGGAGUCUCCUUGUCAGCGACGCUUUUUGAUAGAAAUGGGAGUACAGGGAAUAUUUAGUUAAAACAGGGCAAUAGAAAAGUGUAUUGGUAACUAGAAGUUAUUAGGUAGGAAUAUAGUAAGAAAAGGGAAUACCAAUUGGUUGCUUAAAUACUACACAAUUCAUUUGACAUUGCUGGGUAAGUCAACAUGCAGAUAGUUGAAAAGAAAACUUACUUCGAUCAAAGUCUGGACGGAUGAUUUUGUCGGGGAAGUUAGCAUAUCUCUCAUGACCAGGCCCUUUUAUGUGUAGUUCAAUUUUAGUGCCAGAUUUCAGUACAUAAAACUUAGAAAUUUCUUUCCAAAAGCCAGUGCCAAAAUAGGAGUCACCACGUUCAUCAAGUCUUACAAUAGCAAUGAUUGUAAAUCCAUGGUUUGUGCGUAGUAUGACAUCCGUGGAGCAUUGAUCUAUGUAAAGGGAAAAAAUGUGCACUACAUAGUCUGUUGCAUAGCAAGGGAUGUGCUCUAGAAAAUGGUAGGAUUGUUAAAGAAAAUAUGGUAACAUGCAAAUAUGGGCCCAAAUUGAAAGAACUGUACAUCAGUUGAAAUCAAAGGACAAAAGUCUAUCAUUAAACAGAUAGGGUAAACAUGAUGUCAUGGAAAUAUGAGAGUAAUCGAAAGAACAAUACAUCAUUAAUCUGCCUAAUAUAGAAAGAAGAGGGAGAAAAAAAAA